CAAAAUUAACAUCUCCUUUGUAUCGUUUUCUACCUCUGGAUUAGUUCAAUAUAUCGUUUCCCCCAUCCAUAAUGCCUCUGGAUUAGUUUCGUAUGUCGUUUUCUCCAUCCAUAAUACCUCUGGAUUAGUUUCAUACAGAUGGAGGAUUUAGACCUUUUCGAAAAAGGAUAAUGGAUUAUUAUUUUCUUCCUUUAUCAUCUAAUUCAAACAGCUAGUUUUCCUGGUUUGGAACUCGGAAACAGUUAACCCAUGCCCAUAUCUCGAAUCUUACCUCGAUCCAUGUAACUAAUAAGAGAAGGUUGCACUCAUCCAUGUUUGCCUCCUAUCCUUUAGUUAGCAGCAACAAUGUACUGGGUACAUUCCACUUGGGUUCCAUGAAUCUUUUUGUAGAAUUCCCUGCUACUCCUUCGGUCCCAUAUCAAGUGACUCAAAUUUAUCCAAAUAUAGAUGUAUCUAUGACUAAAAAGCGUCUAGAUACAUGUAAUAGAAAGUCACUUAAUAUGGGACGGAGGGAGUAUUACGCUUCUUUAGCACAAACUCAAUCUUUUGUGUGCUUGUGCAAAAUUAACCUGCUACAUCCAGCCCUCCACCAUUGACGAGAAGAAAGACGUCGCGAUUCGCUUAGGCAAAAUCAAUGAGAUGAAAGAGGAGAUGUACAAUCUGAUUGCCGAGUUUGAAACGAAGUACAAGGUUCCUGUCAGGGUAGCCUGGCCGAAUCAACAGCUGCUGGAGGUGCUUUCCGUGCAAGUCAAGCCUAGAUCCAACGACCCCCACUGGUACAUAUAUAGUCUCAGACAAUUUGCACAUUUAUAUGCAUAGAUAUACAUUUCCCCCUUAUUUUCAUUCUUCUGCUUAUUACAUCAUCUGACACAUGUAGGCGCUCGUGUCGAAAUUCAAGGAUAAGAGGUCGUUUUAUGUGGCUAGUUGGGGUAUGUACGAGUGCCAGUAUCUUUGCAGAUGGUUUCAUAUGGUGUCUCAAAGAAGUAGAAGAUCCAGAAAGGAAAAUUAUAGAAAGCAUGAAGAAGUUAGUCAUGGACAGGUGGAACAAGCAAGAUCAGUGGAAUCAGUCGAAAAAUGGAAGAUGAUCGGAUGACGAGUUCAUCAGAAAUAAAAAAAGCAAAGAUGAAUAUGCUAGCUUUCUGAAAUGUAUAUGUUUGCUGUACUUGAGUCAGUGUUUCGUAUCGAGGGUCUCUGAUAGCUUUGUAGACCGAAUAAACUAUCUUCAUGUGUAUUUGGUGUCCCUCAAUUCCUCAUGAUCUUUGCUCAAUAAAUAAAUAAAUCUGUUGUUGUCAACAAAUCCAUUCAUGGGCCCAAUUUACUUUGCACAGUACACGUACAGGCUUGAGCUGGGCCAGGAACUGCUUCAGAUCAUACCCGUCUUUGGCAGUGACUGAUCCGAAGCUCAUCCAGUUCAAUAAGAACUUAAGAAAAAGAACAAUCUUCAGUCUUAACCGAUCAGAUUUCUCUUGUACAAAAUUCAAAGAUGAACCGAAGAGUAUUAUGUUGAUACUACCACGGUUUGAUGUGCCAUUUUUGUUUCUUCAAGCUGCAAACCGAACUUGGAUCCGAGUGCAUGCGGUGCGCGUUGAAGAUUUGCUGGACCGGAUGUGCCUUUCGUGUGGUCUCUGAAUUUAGAUGGGUGGUGUGCAGUCAGGUCAUACGGCCUCGAUAAUGGCCACCUUCAUCAAACUUAUAGUUGUAGGUAUAGCAUAGUGGCUUCGACCUGAUUGAUGUAUUCAUUUUUGUCAAGCUUGAUAAAUAAAUUUAAUAAAAUUGGUUGGUGCAUAAUUCUGAUGCAGAGGCUAGAGGUUUCGACCUCCUUUUCAAGAAAAAAAAUGAACAUGGUUUUAAGGCAUAAUACUCCCUCCAUUCCGAAUUAAUUGACGUGGAUUUUUUUUCAAGAAUACACCGUAGCAGGUGUAUAAAGAAGAAGUUAGACUGCGAUGCAGUUACAGACCCAAUCGGGCCGAGGAUUACAAGGUCAAUUAGCCAUUAUCUAUCCACUCGUCCAGCUAUCAGCCUGAUCGGGAAUUUCCGCGUUCCAAGCCCUAGCCGCCAAGAGGCAGGAGGCCGCCAGGAGUUUUCCGAUCAGCGUUUUUUCUUCCGGUUCCCCUCGUCUCCGACCGCCGAUUAGGCAUCGAGUGACGAGGGGAACCAUAGAUCAACAUCUGGUUUGGAAGGGGGGGGUUCGGGGGGAAACCUUUUAAGUCCCCUCGAACUGAGCCAAUUUGCCAAAUUUGAAAUAAAAAUUCAGGAAAAAUCUAUACCUUCUAAACUUUUGGUAUAGCAUCGCGCCGGUCACUGUCGCGGGGUCGAUGACUCGGUGGGAUCGAACAGCUAGCAUCUGCCCGAUUGGUCCACAACCUGUGCCUUCUUGUUCACUGAGGUUACAGUCUAUCAAUUUCCAUCCAGGGCUGUGUAGUAAGGUUGUUGCCUUGUACUGGCCAUUUGCCCCCGGGGACAGUUUUCUGGGAUAGGAUCUGAAUGGCACUUCCCAAGCUAGUCUACCGAAUGGCAAUCGGAACAACAUGCAGUUUGUCUACCUUCUUUGUGAGGUUUUGUGUCCUCGCGACGACGUCUUGGUGGAGGAGGCGACGGCGUAUGGAAUAAUAGUCUCUCGCUCCAUCCUCUUCCUGGUGUAGUCAACACGAUCUACUCCAUGGAGCUCGCGGAUCUCGCGGUUUGUUUUUUCGUUAUUUUGGUCUUUUUUCUAGUUGGUUCGGCGACGAAUCAGCAAAUCGACAACCUGCCUUGCAAGGGGUGUAUCCCCGGCCAGAGUGCGUUCAACGAUAUUAGGUUCUCAUCGGUUGCGGUGAGCGACUCAUGUGGCUAUUCAAAACCUAUAACGUUAGUCCAGCUUGUGCAGAUCUGGUCUUCUGCAAUUUCAUCACCGAAGACAUGAAGAGUUUUCAAGAUACUAAUGACGGAUCAAGAGUUAUUUACUUCAAAGAAUCUUGAUGUAACUUUUAGUUUCAUUAGGUUUUUUGUCGUUGAUUUUCGUUUCAAUUUCGAUUAUUUGUACUUUGUUUAUUGAAUCAAUAAAGCCAGAUGUUUCUCAAAGAAAAAAAAAAUCUAUCCACUCGUCCUGCCCACCAGAAAAAAGAGAAAACAUGGAGUCGGUAAAGAAGACCAGCUCGGCGCCAAGCCUCGCCCUCCAUCUGAAUGUUCCCAAACACAUUGGACAGAUUCGUCAUCGAAAACCAUCUUAUUCCUAUGCUUCCAUAUCGUCCAAAUAAUCAACGUGAUCGAGGUCGCGAGCUGUUUCCUAGGCUUGCCGCUGACUGGCAAGUCAUUCCACCAAUUUACCAAAACGGAGUCCGGCGUAGGAAUCCACUCCAGCUUGUUCCAGCCACUGAGGAUCACGAACCACAACUGUCUGGCGAAGACACAACUGAGGAACAGGUGACCAGAGUUCUCCGGAAGUUGAUCACAGAGUGGACAUCGAUCCGGGUGAUGGAGACCGUGUCGCUCUAGCCUAUCGGCCGUCCAGCAUCUCUUCCGACACACCAGCUAGAUGAAAAACUUGCAACAGUCGGGGCCUUGGACUUCCAGGCAAGAUUCCAAGCCGGCAUCUCUACCCUGCCCUCGAACAGAGCACUGUAGGCCGAUUUGACAGAAAACUGUCCAGUGUUUGACCAACGCCACCUGAAGGAAUGAGCCCCUUCCUCCAGCACCGUCCUUCCACCUGAUCCCAAAGCUCUAGGUAUUCGUGAAUGGGACUGUCUAAUGAGCAGGCACCUGAUUUAGUAUCCAAUAACAGUCGCCUGUUUUGGAGGAUAUAAACAGGCGCCUGUUAUUUGGAACAAAAGCAGACGCCUGCCUUUUCUGCCAAAAACAGGCAGAUCUCACAUAAGCAGUUUGUUUUGCAAAACAAUCAACAACUGGCUGCCUUUGGUGCCAAAACAAAGAGAUUCAAACUGCAAAUUUAGGUUUUGGCGCCAGAAACAUAUAACAAUGCAUACAAAAAAAGGAUCAGGGAAAAAAAUUGAUUUUGUAGUGCAAACUUGUUUAAAGUUCUUGCUCUUUUGUGCACAGAGAUGUGCAGAGAGAUUCAGACUCUAAGCUCCCUUCCAUUACAUCAUUUAUCACUGCAAAAAAAAUUACACAUAGGGCAAAGAAACUGAAACUGACUGCAAAUUACAGUAAUAAAGUUUCCAAAUUUGGAUAGGAGCUAGAGGAGAUGCAAACCUGUUCUCUUCCAUGCAGAUACAUUCAGAAUCCAAAAAUCUUUCCAGGGCAGCAUUCAUCACUCCAAAAAUGAAAACACAUGCAAAAGAUUAGAUGCAGAGUGCAUGUACAGUAGUUGGUUCCCAAAAUAUAGAUAGGAGCUAAAGCAACUGCAAACCUGAUCUCUUUAUGCAGAACCAUUCUCACUCCAAAAUCCUUCCAGGUGAGACCAAAAUUAUCAAAAACAAAGGCAAGCAUUUAUCAGUUCAAAAUGUACACAUAGGCAAAUCUUAGAUGCUGGCUGCAUUUACAGUAGUGAGUUCCCAAGAUACAAAAGAUAGAGCAGCAUCCAUUUACACACAUGAUAGAAACCAACUUGCAAAACACAACAUUCGUUACAUGACCAAAAGAUUGCAUGCUCAUUGCAUUUAGAGUACUCAGUUCUACUACAGCAAAUAAUCAUGACCAUAACCAUUGGGUAUCCAUAUGAACAAAGAGACACAAACUCCAACUGACAAAAUAUCAUUCAGAUACCCUGUUUUAAAAAUCUGCAUCAAAAAACAAUCAAAAUUUUCAAACCUAUAAAUUCUGUUAUAAACCUGUUAUAGCUUUUGUCUCAACACACAUAAAAUGUUCAAAUCAUCUGGGCAUAAAAGACAGCUCAAAAAUUCAUAAAACGCACACAUUUAAAAAAGAAGCACUUGCUUCAAUCACUUAAGCUAUUAUGUACUAACUAUUGUAAUGUAUUAUUCAAGAAAUCUCAACAGAAUAACUGGACACAGAGAAGUACACAGAAAGCAAACCAUGCCCACGUAUUGCCACCAAAAAUUCAAACACCAAAUACAGAUUCAAAAAAUUUGAGCAUCACCCCCAAGCGAACAUCGCUAGUGAGCGAACCUGUUUUAUUUAUGCAGCCACCGACAUGGGGGCUUCAUUUCCUUCAGGGAAAUCCCACACCAGUCCACGCAGCAUACAUAUGUUCAACUCUGGGCAGAAAAAGGGAACCAAAAUUCAUAAGAAUGAACAUUUAAAAGACGUGAGAACUCUAAUUAUAGACAGGGGACAAAACCGCACCCGGCCAAUCAGCAUGCCGUCGGCUGUAAUAUCUGAGAAAAGUACAGAGCAACAAGAAGUAGACCUUGCAGAUAAUGCAAAGCUGCUUGCGCCUAGAUGAAAAGCAAAAUUUUAAAGAGGACGUCAAGCAAAAUGUCGCUUGCACCUAGAUGAAAGAAUGCAGAUAAUACAAAGCUGCGAAUUGACGAAGACAUGUACAAAAUAGUAUAAUCAGAUGCUGCAAAAUUAGUAACAGAGAAAAUGCAAUUAUUGAAGAUGAAGGGUGCAACUGCACUUAGAAAAAAGAGUACACCUUGCAGUACUGUUUUGUUGGUACAUUAAAAAAAAGAGAAGAAAAAGGUUCUUGGGCGGAAAAUAUAAGUGAAAGGGGAUUUUAAGCACACCAUAUGGGGAACAAAAGAUCCAAAGUUUUGUAUUAAGCACACCAGCACUUAGAAAACUCUGAUUCUUGUUUGAAUAUAGGUAUCAUCUUAAUUGCGCUUCUUAAUGCCCAGAAUUGUGCUCCCAAAAGAAGUGCAAUUGCGCUAAGGGACUCCAUUAAUUGCGAUGGGGGAGUUGCGAAAAGAAAUGGACUACAAACAAUCAGAAGUGUAUGGCCAUAGUUAAUUAAAACAAAAUAACAAGUCCAAAUGCAUGUGCAGCACACAAAAAGAAUUGCGCUAGGAUGAAUCAAGAUGUGCACCUACAAAAAUUAGGUAAAAUUGCACUACUCUUGGAAAACCUUUCCAGGAUUCAGAAAAAUCUGAUUCUUGUUUGAAUACAGCUAUAAUCUCGAUUGCGCUACUAAUUGGCCAGAAUUGCACUCCCAAAAAAAGUGUAAAUGCACUAAGGGAUGCCAUAAAUUGCACUAGGGGGGAACAACAAACAUACAUCAUUACAAAAAAAAAUACAGGUGCAAUUACAGGGGGUUGCGCUGGUUCUUCGAGAAAUCAACAUAUGUAAUUUAAGUCGGCUGUCAUUGCAAGCCAUACAGAAAACAAAAAAAGAAGUACAAUUGGUCUUUCACAGAGGACAACACAUAUGAUAGGACAGAUAAAUCUACAUAUGAAUUGUUUGCAUAUUGGUGCCAAAUUGAAAAGAGAGAGAAAAGAUUGGAAAACCCAUUGGAAAGGGCUGUGGGUAAGGCUAUUACAUUACAAUAACAAAACCCUAGCAUAAGCAAACAUGGGCAAACACAUAUACUACACUCCAAAAAAUCAUUGUACAGUUUGUGAAAAAAUAGAUAAGUUACUUGUGAAAAAUGCACAAGUGCCUAACACCAUUGAUAUAUGAAUCACAAUACAUGGGAAGAGAUGUUAGAUGGCACAGUAAGUAAACCGCUUAAAUACCCUAACUAAAAAUGGUUACUAAAUGAUUCAUGCGGAUUAUGUAUAACAGUAGAAAAUGCAUAAACACAAAGCACACUCUUAUGUAUUUUUAGCAUGACUGCAAUGCCAAAAAAAAAGCUUCAAAAUCCUCUGGACACCAGAAACUGCUCCUAGCAUUGAACCAUACUCAACCAACAAACAACAGUAAGAAUCAGGUUACAACCCUUAGUUUCAGUUUCAGUGCACACAACACUUAUGCUAGGCAAACCCCUACCACCAGAAAAUAACAACGAAAUGAAAAUUGCUAGAUUAUUACAAGAUCAAUCAAGUAGGGUACAAUUAGUACUUCGGUAAUCGUUAGUUUCAGUAUCAAAAGCACCACCAACACACAUAAUCAUGACCAGAAGCACUAUUUCAAUUUGAAUCUGAAUAUGGCUCUAAUAAAUGCUAAAGUUAGCCGGCGUUCAGAAACAUCACAUAACAGCAACACAAAACGCCCAAAUCAACGCACAAUCCAAUCCGAUAAACCAACACAGAGCCAGAUGAAUGAGCCCCAAAAAUCAGCUAUGACUGCUGCGGCGUGAGUACCAACCUCAGCAAGAGCCAGACGAUACGCAAUCUCGAGGAAUGCAACAUAGAUCUGCCAUUUGGCCAGGGCUUUCGUCUGGGAUAUAGGAAACGAAGGACUCACCUUGCCCGCGCCACCCAUGACAUGCCUCACCUCUACUGCCUCCGCCUCGCCAAGUUCGCCCCAAAGAGGGAAGCAAAAUCGGCUACAAAACACAACUCAUGUUAGUGAAUUAGUACAACCAUAUGACAGAGGAUGCAGAAACCAAUCAGCAACUCACCAGACAGCAGACCAGACCUCACCGUCGACGAGUGCAGAUCCAAAUCCUCCCCCGCCUCUGCUGUCUUUGCUUCCCCACACACAAGCGAAAGCAAAAAUAAAAUCAGGGCAAAGGGCAGCGAGCAAACCACAGAUCGCAGAAAAGCUAGAGACGCCUUCAGGGGACUCACCGGACUAGGGGACCCCUCUGGUGCCGACGAAGAAGAUGCGAAUCGCCUCGUCCCCACCACCUCGCACUCCCGAAAUUCUUGAGCUCGCCCGCGUCGUGACCAUCGUGGUGGAGCAGCCGCAACGAGCCAGCCCCGCGCCACCGGGCAGGGACGUGAGCACCUCACCGGACGGGGACAGAAGCCACGCGGCCUGCCUCACCUCACCAGGCCCCUACCCACCGCGCGCCGCGGGACCUCACCGGACGGGGACAGAAGCUGCGCCUAGCCGCCCGCCCGACCCCGCAGGACCUCACUAGACGGGGACAGAAGCCGUGCCUAGCGCCCCACCCCCCUCCUCUCCCCCCGCGCCGGCGCGCCCUCGUCUGCUCCGUCUCCCACUGACCAGAAUGUGCGAUGGGGUAAGAAGCCGCUGGACACCAAUCUUGAAGCAUAGAUCUGACGGUGCACAAAUCGCCUGGUUCUAAAAAAAAAGAAAACCAGGCGCCUGUGCACUAGCAAAAGGGUUCGUGAAUAACCACAGCACACAAAUUAGGGUUCAGCCUUUCAGGUCGAGGGCCCACGAGUUGUUGUGUAAACAUUCAGCCACGAGAUGUCCAGAUUGUUUCCCCUGGCGGCAAAGAUAGCAGGAGCCACAUCCUUAACUCGUCCGCUAUCAAUCCACGGGUCUGUCCAGAAACGAGUGCUCUGACCAUCAUGAACCAGGGCCACCGAACCACUUUCAAAAAUGUUCGUCGCCAUUUGCGACAGCUUGAUAUCAAACUCAGACCAAGGUCUGGACAUAUCAACUCUUUUGAGCCAUCACCCUUAGCCUGAAUAGCGGCGUUUAGGAUAAGUCCAGCGGUUCCCCUAAAAUGUAUCCCCUAUAUCUCAAAAUAGAGGACUUUCCUAAAAAAAUUCUCCUCUAAAAAUUAUUCGACUCCAGCAGUUCUCCUAAAAGAUCUUCCCUAUUCUAUUUGAAACCCAACGUCUACCUCUCCGACGGCUAGUUUUUAAACGGCCGGAUUUCUAACGGCUAGUUUUUGAAUGGCCGGAUUUCUAACGGUUAGUUUUUUUUAUCUAUAUAUGCAUGAUCAGCUCGCUCUCAUAUCUCUCACAAUCUUGCUUCUGCCUCCUCUUCUACUUCGCUUUCACCAUAUCUCUUGCAUCUUUCGACAACAAAAUGAGUCACCGCCGAAGCUUGGCAUGUCAAUUUUGCGAAGAUUCCUCGUCUGAUGAUGAGGAUCUCAUGAUGGUUGCAGUCAUAACCGAGAAAGAACAGGCGGGGUUGGAUGCUCCGCGCCAUCGAGGUUCACUUCCAGGACAACAUUCUCUUCAGCGCGAAUUUGCGGAACGCUUUCAGUGUCUCCACAAAGACUAUUUUGCUGUGAAAUGUACCUUCAACGCAAGGAUGUUUCGCAAUAGGUAUGUAACUGGUGCAAUUUUUUUUAUUUUCCGGCAUACUAGUCACCCUUCAUGUCUAAUUAAGUUUUUCGUAGCAGGUAUAGAAUGCACCGUCCUCUUUUUCUCACAACAGUAAGAGCUCUAGAGGAACAUGAUAGCUAUUUUUCCUUGAGAAGAAAUUGUGCCGGUACUCCUGGUUUACAUCCUUAUCAAAAGUUGACCUCCGCAUUCAGAAUUCUAACUUAUGGGAUAUCAGCUGAUGGUACUGAUGAGUAUUGUCGGCUAGCAAAGUCUACUGCUUUAGAUAACCUUAGAUCAUUUGUGCGUGCUGUGAUCGAGGUCUUUGGUGGUCGCUACCUGAGAUCUCCAAAUGCUGAAGAUACUGCUAGAUUACUUGCAAUUGGAGAGCAAAGGGGAUUCCCCGGUAUGCUUAGAAGCAUCGACUGCAUGCAUUGGCAGUGGAAAAAUUGCCCUACUGCACACAAAGGUUUUUUUGUUGGCCAUAAUCGUGUACCCACAAUCAUUCUUGAAGCCGUUGCUUCACAAGACCUUUAGGUUUGGCAUUCUUUCUUUAGUUUACUAGGAUCCCAUAAUGAUAUAAAUGUUCUUCACCGUUCACCUGUGUUUGCGAAUCUAACUGAAGGGCAUGCUCCAGAAGUGAAUUAUACCAUCAAUGGUCGCAACUACAACAUGGGGUAUUACCUUGCAGAUGGCAUAUAUCCGUGAUGGGCCACAUUCGUGAAGACAAUUCCAAAUCCGACAACUGAAAAAAAAUAAACAUUUUGCACGAUGCCAAGAAGCUUGUUGAAAGGAUGUUGAACGAGCCUUUGAAGUUCUGCAAGCUCGUUUUGCCAUUGUACGUGGACCAGCAAGGUUUUGGGAUUUGGAAACACUCGGAAAAAUCAUGACAGCUUGUAUCGUCCUGCAUAACAUGAUAAAAGAAGAUGAGUGUGAAAGUCUGUAGACUACCGAUUUCAGAACAUGGGAGAACUGGUGAUACCUUCUCGUGAAGAGACAGCUACAUUGACUCAGUUUUUUCAAGCUCACAACGCUUUUCAAAACAAAGAAGUUCAUUGUCAGCAUCAAGUUGAUCUAGUUGAGCACUUGUGGCAGAUCCGCGAAGAGAUGUAGUUUUCAUAAAUGGUAGCAAUAAUGUAGUGUAUGAGAUCUCUAAUAUGUUCUUAAAUUAUGGUGGGGUGUAAGCGGUGCCUGUUUCAUUUUCUACAUAAUGCAAUGUUUCUCUCGUAAUGCACAUCUAGCAAAAUUGCAACAAUUUCAUCUAUUUCUUCACUUCUCCUCUAUUUCCCAUCUCUUUCUCCCUCUCCACCUUUCUUCCCAACCGAGCAUACCUCUCCCUCUCCGCUUCCUCUCCCUUCUUCCAACCGCGCCUCUCCCUCUCCCUCUCUGCUUCCUCUCCUGCGUGCUGGCCGCCGCCCCCAACCGCGCCUCUCCCUCUCUGCUUCCUCCCACGUGCUGGCCGCCCCCCCCCCCCCUGCUGGCCAACGCCCGCGUGCUGGCCGCCGCCGUCCCCCUGCUGGCCCACGCCCGCAUCUGGCCGCCGCCGCUCCCCUGCUGGUCGCCGCACGGAUCUGGCCGCCGCCCCUCGUGUCUGGCCGCCGCCGCUGGCCGCCGCACCUCGCGUCUGGCCCCGGCUGGCUCGUGGCGGGAGAAAGGAGAAGGAGGGCGGGGACGUGGUUUUUUGGCGGGAGGGACGACCUCGCGUCGAUCGGGGGAGGGAUUGGGCUCCCCGAUACAUCGGGGAGAAGGAGCCCUGAUAGGGGAAGCCGAAAUUUGGGGGACGCUUUAGGGAAACUGCUGGAUGUUGAUUUUGGACUUUUUUUCUCCUAAAUUUUGUACAGGGGAGGCUUUGGGAGAACCGCUGGACUCGCUCUUAGCAGCCUCAAGUUGGGAAUGCCCAAUCCCUCAAGCCACGUCGGAGUACAGACCUCGUUCCACGCCACUAAGCAGUGACCGCCAUGCACCUCUUGCUGGCCCUUCCAAAGAAACCCAUGACAUAACUUCUCAAUCAUGUCGAUGAUUCGGACCGGCAAAUCCAACGAGAGCAUAGGGUUGAUUGGCAUUGCACAGAGCGCAGAUUUAACAAGGAUCAGGCCGGCGACCACCCGACGACAAAAGCUUUGCACUCCAACUCUGAAGUCGAUUCGCCACCUUGUCCACAAUCGGGGCCAACUGAGCAGCCGAAACCCUCCCAAGGUUGAGAGGAAGUCCAAGGUAUUUGGCAGGGAAACCCAAGAACCUGGCAGUGCAAGGUGUUUUCCACAACCACACGCUGAUCAUCAGAGCAGUUGAUCAAGUGGGCCGAACUUUUAGCUAGAUUGGUCUGAAGCCUCACUUAAUUCGGGACGGCUAGCCUCGUACAUUUUCUGUUUUCCUUGUACACUCUGUACUUUGUUCCUAUUUAUCAAUAAAGCAGCGCUCUUUGCUCAAAAAAUAAAUAAAUAAAGCAGCGCUCGCUGCGUUUCAUAAAAAUAAUAAAAUAGAAAAAUAGAUGUUCACCAGAUAUUUCCACAACUUCGCAGAUGAUUUUUCUGUGGUCUAGUGCGCACCUCAAGGUGCUAAUGCCCAAAAACGUAUGCCCCUUCUAGAAAUAUGGACACGUGACUGAAAUGCAACCAAACAAGCUUAAGCAACCACGAUAACACCGAAUCCAAUAGUGGAACAAACCUGGAUAUUAUUUAUUCUCACAAGAUCCGCCUAGUUCUGCAAUACUUGGAUCAUCUUUCCGAAUGCCAUGUUCGGUCUUCACAGGUUCAAUAAGCUCGGCAACGCAAUCCCAUAACUUUUGGAGUUUAUAAUGAUGGUCCAAAUUUCUCACAGAGAUGCUUUAAAGCCAGCUCUGAUCCACGAAGGCUUCUAGAACCUUCCAUUUUUGUUCUUCACUACCAGAGCUCAUAUAUAUGACCUGGAUUUGUGAUUGCUAAAACGCUACAAAUGAGCUCAGCAAGUGCAUCUGCAGCUUUGUCUUGAAGUAGUUCCUCGCAGACCUGGUUCCUCGUGCAUGAUAUAUAUAGAUAGAAUCAUAGUAUACAAGUUUUCUUAAGGGACGGAAUCAUCAAGUUUACGUAUUGCUAAAAUAGAAACUGAUAAACUUAGGCAAGGAUGUUCUGAAGCUUACCUUAGCUCCCUCAAGUCAGUGCGACUCGAUGAGUGCUCUGAAGUCUGAACAUCUUGAUGUAACCCCUUUCAUCUCCUACGUUACAUGUUUUUCGUUCUUUUACAUGUACACCUCUUGGGUUUAUAGCUAAGUUUGUUUUGGGUUAGGCAUAUAUCACUGCUAGUCUAUUGCAGCACCCUUGUUUGAAUUUCACUGAAUCAAGCCGUCCAGAUUCCUUCUGUUGUGUAGCAAUAAUGCAGGUCUGAUUUUCUAUCCUUUCCAAUUGUCCGAGGAUGAGGUUGAGAUACAGUUUGUCACCAAUCAGCAUAACCAACACACGUUAUUGGAAAGUUGAAACAGACCAUAUCAACGGCAUUUUUCUUCAUUCUAAUAUUUGUUUCACAUGUGACAUGUUAUGAUAUCCAUUUUGAUGUACCACAAAUUAUUUCUUUUACAAACUACUAUAAACUAUAUGUUACUGAAACAGAGCAAAGAGCUAAGUAAAUGCAGAAAAGGGGUGGUUGUUGGCCGUCCUAUAUUUAGGGUGGGAUUUGAGAAUUGAGAUUAGACGGCGACCUCCUAAAGGGUGUUGGGAUCGGAGGUGACAUAUAUAGGUAAUCUGCUGGAGCAUGAAAAUUUGGUUUUAUUAUCUGAUUUUUGUAAUUGGGUGUGGGAUAGAGGAUCUGCCGUAGAUGCUCUGAUGCCAUAUGCUUGGUGGCUGACCAAUUCAUCAGAUACGGUAGGUGCAUGGACCUCUGCGUUAGGUAAACAAAAUCAAAAGUAUGAGGGUCUUAAGAAAUACUAUCAGUUAGCAAACUAGGACUUAAGGCUUCCUUUAUCGAAAAAACAAAUACAAAUUGGGACUUGGUCAACAUGAAAAAGGGGCAUGGUCGCUUGGGUAUCCCGAUAUGAGAGAUCUCAACAUUUCACUUCUUUACUCCUGAUCAUAAAAAACAAGAAUCUACUAAACCAGAAUUGAAAUUGAGUGAGUGGAAAAAAGGGGUUUAUAGGGACAGUUCAGAUGCUAUUGGCAUGGUAAGAAGAGGUGUAUUUUACAGACCAUAGGGGUUAUCGAAAUCCUAAAGUAAAGGCCUGCAAUCGAAGUAGAAGUACCAACGGCUCACUGCCAUGAACCUUCUCCAUUUGAUUCACUAAGGGGAAAUUCACCUCCUUCUCGAAUGGGUAUCAUUGACAAAGGGUUGCGUUUGUAUCAUAAUCUACAUGUAUCGGGUAUAGUUUAGUGGUAAAAGUGUGAUUCGUUCUAUUAAUAACUGAAUUUAAAAUGAUAUACUUAAGGCAUCCUUAAGUUUUUUUCUAUUCUGAUGAAAACUUUAGUUCUUAUAAAGGAUUUCAUCCUUUUCCUCUCAAUAGCGUAUUGAGGAACAAUAUACAUUCUCGUGAUUUGUAUAAUUGAAAUUGCAUCCAAAAUACAAAUAGGAUUAUGAGUACAGAGUCGCGAAGCAUAAUUUACAUUGGAUUAAGUAUUCCAUAUAUUAAAAAUAUGAGUAAAGGAUCUAUGGAUGGAGAUACAAAAAAGUUUUUUCCAAUCGUAACUAAAUCUCCUUUACCUUCAAAAAGGGAAAAGGAAGCCAAAUAGCUAAAAGCGGUAGUUUUGGUUUACUAGAACCAUCAGCAUAUUGUUUAAGCUCGGUGGAAACCCAAUUCUUUUCCUCAAGGAUCCCUUGAAUGAAAUUAGGGAACGAAGUAAGUAGAUUAGAUGGAUUUAGAUCGAAUUUCUAUCUCCUUACUCUAUAAGGAUCAUCUAGAAAGCGGAGAGCUUUGGUUCUAUUCAAAUAGAAAAGCUGACAUAGAUGUUAAGUGGUGAGAAUAUCCAUAAAGGAGCCGAAUGAAAUGAAAAUUUCUAUGUUCGGUUUUGAAUUAGAGACGUUAUAAAUAAUCAACCAACGUCGACUAUAACCCCUAGCCUUCCAAGCUAACGAUGCGGGUUCGAUUCCCGCUACCCGCUCCAUUCUGUAUAUGUAUAAAAGGAGUAUUCUAUUUGUCUAGACAUAGUAGAGGCCCGUAUUUAACCUUUUCCGUUCACCAUUUUCUGGUACUGCAGAGCGGAGUAGAGCAGUUUGGUAGCUCACGAGGCUCAUAACCUUGAGGUCACGGGUUCGAUUCCCGUCUCCGCACUUAGCAGUCUCUAUAAAAGGACUAUUCCAUUUCUAUAUAUAUGGUACAGGGUUGGGUGGUAUCCAAUCCAAUUUUUUUAUUCAUUACUUCCUGGCCUUAGAGGGCAAAAUUGAGCAGUCUGCGAAGCCGCCUGCCUCCAUAAGAAGAACAGGCAAGGUUUCUCCCUACCCUGCAGAAAAGAAAAAUGAAAGAAACGCACAGUCUACCUCCCUUCCCUUUAAAAGCAGUUUGCCAGUUCUUUGUCUCAGUGAAUACCCCCCUGUUGGCGAGUUCUAUUUCCCUCUCCGGAGCCCUCCUUUUUUUGAGUGGGCUAAAAAGUAAGGGUAAUAAGGGAUAGGGUACUAGACUAACACCUAAUUAAUAUAUAAUUUAUUCUAAGUAGUUAAACAUUCAACUAGACUAAAUUUUUUCUCAUAGUACUUGACUAAAGUAAGCGGGCGAGCGGCGGGAAUCGAACCCGUAUCUUCUCCUUGGCAAGGAGAUGUUUUACCAUUGAACUACGCUCGCUACGGAAUAUAUUUUAUAGCGUAUAUCCGCUUGGGUCGACCGUCUAUGUCUGGGUCGACCGUUUCAUUUUCUAUUAUAUUAGAGUUUUUCUUUUUUUUAUUGUCUGUCAAUCAAUAUUCUAAUGGCAAUGUAAUUUCAUAAUACUGAAAGAGAAGAGGUAGCAAUUCGGAACGCAAAUUGCGUUUUAAUGCGUCUCACUAUUCGAAUUUUUUCGAAGAAAUGUCCUUUUUAUUUAUUUUGUAUCAUCUUCAUUGACCAUAAAAUCUGGUAGUAAAUCUUUUUUUUUUGAAAAGGAGGAUAACCCCCGUUCUCUGCAUCGACCGAUGCACACAGCCAUGUAUUGUUAAAACCAGCCAAAGCCAGGCAGCAAAGCCGAACAAAGUCGACCAAAAAGAAAAGAGUAAAUUACAGAGAAACACAUGUUCCGCGGCUCUUGUAACAAAGAAUCACGAACCAGAGGUUUUCAACUGAUACCCACGAGUCGAAAACUAAUGAGUAACAAAAAAACCCGUAAAUCAUAAUGAUUCGGACCCACGUGUCAUACUCAUGAGCCGAUUUCUGGGUCAAGAUUUUUCGAGCCAUCAGCUUGAGCCGAGGUAAGAGCUGAGCCGAACAAGGCCAGCAUCUUCCUAGGUGGCGGCAGGUGGUGGGUCGGGCUCGAGCGCGAGGUCGAGGCCGCUCCAGAGGAGGUCAGCACCGCCACCUUCGCUGACAUUUCCGGUCGGAAUUGAGGUCGACCCUGCAUCAAUUCUGCCCUCGACUCCUGCCGGCCGCCGCCUUCAAUCCGACCGCGCCACGGACGAUUCGGCUCGCCGCUGCAUCGAUUGGCACCGGGGCGACCUCCCUCUAGCCCCUCCUCCACCUCCUUGACCUCCUCCUUUUCUUCAUCGGCUAUGUGUUACUACUGGAUCUCGGCUGCAGAUGAACUCGUGGAGAGGUGGAACGGCGGAGCGGUGGAGAGGUCGAACGGCUGCCGCGGCGGGGCGCGGGCGCGGGGUUGACGAGGGGCCGGCGAGCGGACGGGCGCGGGGUUGACGGGCCGGCGAGCGGAGUUGCUAUGGCAGGACGGGGCCGUCGUGGCACAGGCGCAUGGGAGGUGCUCCUAGAGCAGCGUCGGCGCGAGCGGGGUCACGGGGGAGGGGGACGCGCCGUGCGGUUGGCCGCGGGCGGCGGGAGCGACCUGUCCUCGGCGGCCGGCGGCCACGCGCUGCUGCUGCUGCUCAAGAGAGGAGACCACGCGCUGCUGCUGCUCAAGAGGGGGAGGGACGAGCAUAAUACCGCAUCAUCGCCAUCCAAGCCGGCGGCCACGCGCUGCUGCUGUUGCUCAAGAGGGGGAGGAGCUCAUGAGCUGUCUCUGCACCCGGAGAGAGAGGGGGGAGGGAGAGAGGGGAACGGAAGGAGAAGGUAAACGGGAGGAGGAGGUAACGGCUCGGCUCGCGUGAGGCUCUGGCCGGGAGUGAGAAUUGAGCCACGUAAAUGGCUCCUGCAUGACAGGUGGGCCACGACCAUUAACUUGGCCAAAGCUAUGAGUUUUGGGUGUUUUGUUACGUAUUAGUCUUGUACUCGUGGGUAUCGGUUGAAAUUUCCUGUGUUCGUGGUUUUUUGUUACAAGAGUCGCUAGAUAUGUCUCUUUGUGCAAUUUACUCAAAAAAAACAUAGACUCCACUAGACUGACAAACUACCCACUAACCCUAUGGUACAUGCCGAAGCAAACGAAAAGAAACACAAAUCCUCGACAAAGCCUUCAAGAAGGAACGUCGCACCUACGACGAUGACGCGCCGAUGAAGCCAAGCUUCGAGCCACCACCUUCAACAAGGGCAUAACGCAGGCAUGACACAUGGCAUUGACAGAGGACGAACGAGAGCGUCUCCGUGAGCAAGAACGUGCAUACCUUCGCAGGAUCAAGUGUGAGGAUCGAGCGGAUCAAUCCAUCCCUGCGAGAGAUGAAGAGGAAGGUCGCCUGGUUACCGAUGAUUGGAUUGCGAAGCAUCGGUGGGCGAGGCAGUCAUGGGUUGCGGAUCAUGCGCCGAUGGAAAACUUCGUUUGCGAGUUUCUUCGUACUGAUACAUCAGCGGACUCCGUCGAUCUUCCGUCCCGGAUCCCGGAGGUGGUGAAGGAUCCCUUUGGUGGUUCAUCUCAAAGUGCGGUGGAAGAGGCGACGGAGGCGAGGGCGAGUACUGGGGUUGGUACCCCGCCAGGGAUCCAUCCAGGGGAUUCACCGGUUAUUCCGUCUCCUCUUCUUGUUGUUGAUUUUGGUUUUUUCCUUGUAUUCCUCCUAUUCCUGCUGGGUGCAGAUCGUCGGUGGUUGUGGAGCCAUGGACCUCGCACAAAUUGGGGGAAGAUCCGCCAUGGAAGCGCUCCGAGACGAUGGAAACUACCUUGCGCGGGAAGGAACCUAGCCUUACUUUUUCGUCUUUGUGUUCUGAUGGGUCGUGGCCAUCUGAGCCCAGCCCAUCAAUGGCGUUUGCGGACAGUCCAGGGCGGAUCCAGCCUGGGUCGCCAGGGCAUAGGACACAUGUGGUGGAUGGGCGACGUUGCUGUUGACCCAUCUAGGGUUUCUAAUCCCAAUUCGAAGCUUCGUUCUCUUCUCGGUUUCCAGCGGACGUGUGACAGUCCUAUCCGGCAGCAAUUCAGAGGGGGUUGGUUCAUCCCACAGCAGAAAUUCAUCGCUCCUGAUCUGGAUUUCGAGGGAGAUACUGCUAGGUGGCCGCAAAUUGUUGGACAGCGUGGUGGAGUUUCGCCAAGCCCUCUCGUUCCACAUCCCGCGUCAAGCUUCGCCACAGUGGUGCGGAUGCAAGGCGGAGGGGAUUGGCGUGGCAACAGAGGUGGCGGACAAAUGAGUGGUGGAUCUAUGGCCGGAGGACCGGGCGGUCGCGGCCAUGGAUGGGACGGUUGGCGGGGACCGCCGCCUUCGCAGUUCCCCAUGGAGCCGCCGUCCGGGAAACAGCAAUUUGGGCGUGGUCAGCACUUCGGCGGCGAUGGUUACGGUGGACCAUACCAAUUUCCUGAUCCUCGUGCAGCACCCCCAGGUAUGUUCCCAACUUUGGCUUAGGAUGUGCAAGGAUCCGGACCAUACUUUCCUCCUGCUCAGAUGGGAAGAAGGGGGGAAUGGGCCGAUGAAUCAGGGGCGAGGGGCCGGCAACGGAGGGAGGAAUGGUGCUCGUCGAGGCUUUGGUCCAGGUGCUGGGAGAGGAAGUCAAUCUAGAACUGGUUCGAAUCGCUUUGGGGGAUCUUCUUCUUCUGACACUACUCAGACUUCAGCUAUGCAGAACUGGAACUCUGAGUUUCCACAGGGGCAAACAUCUGGUGGAGAUAAUGCUCAAUUUGAUCCUAAGAAUGAAAGUGGCAGUUCUAAACCUCUGAUUUGCUAUAGAUGUGAGGGGACAGGUCAUGGGGUUAAAGAUUGUAAAGCUGUGCUGCUGUGUGACUUUUGUACCAAGACUACACACUUAUCAAGCAAAUGUGCUUUGUUAAAUCAACCAAAACCAGUGGCAGCUCUUGUAGGCUGGGCUAAAGAAGGACUUCAAUUGUUUGCUGGUAGAACUGGAAAAAAAGUGGAUAAUGAUGUUAACAAACAAGCCAUUGCUCUGGUUAGUAUUCACUCUGGGGAUCAGGCUGGGCUUACUGUACAGCAGCUGGUAGACAGUUUUGCCAUUAUGUUUCCUUAGGGAUGGGAAUGGAAAGCUAAACCUUAUGCUACAGGCAGUUUCUUAGUCAAAUUUCCAUAUGUUCAUCGCAUCAUUGAAUUGCAGAGAUGUGAGUAUAUUGGGUUGGCAGGUCACAAGGUUGCUGUCAAAGUGACUAGAUGGACUAACACUUCGAUGGCCAAAUAUAAGAUGUAUGUUGUCUGGGUAAGAGUCAGUGGGGUGCCUGAAUCCUUAUUGCACUAUGAAGGUUUUUGUGAAGUUGGUUCACCAUUAGGGGUUGUGAAAGAGGUGGAUAUGAGCUUUUACAGAAAACAAGAUAUAAUCAGGAUGAAAAUUGCUGUUAGAGAUCCUAGUCUUAUUCCUGGGUCACAUGAUAUUGAGGAAGAUGGGUAUAUUUAUGACAUCUUCUAUGAGAUUGAGAGCAUUGUUGAGAUGGGGGGGGGGGGGUCAUGAAACAUGGAGUGCUUCUAAGCAAUGAGGAAAGAGAUGCAUAUGUUAGGGCAAGGGCUGAGUAUGAUGGGUUGCAGAAAAGACAGAAAAAUGUUGAGCAAGGUGGUGGUACUGUUAGUAGUGAUGGGGCUGGUGCAUAUAACACGGGUGGUGGACAGGGACAGAGAACUUUUGGAGCUAGUGGGCCUAAACAAGUUUCAACUAUUCAGAUAGUGGAUGCAUCUCCAGUACUUGCUGUAACAGAGGAUGAGAAGACAGACAAAACUGGACAAGGUCAGACUACUGAGGGUCCUCACAAUGUUAACCCUGUUAUUAAGGAGUCACUGUUACACAAACAAGUUGAUGUUGUGCAUGAAGUACCUUUUAUUCCAAAGAUCACUUCUGAUGUGGUUCCUAAAUUACUUGCAUCUGAAUUGAAGAUUGCUGGUGAUCAUGCUGAUGACAAGGCUAAAGAAACUGAUAAGAAAACUAAGAGUGUCCAGUUUGUAAUGGCAUCCCCUGGAGCUAAAGCUGUAGCUCUGAUCAACAAAAAACAUAACAAGGACUGUCAGAUGUUGGAGCAAUUGUAACAUCCCAAUUUUCAAAACCCUUCAUAUGCAUUGCAUAUCAUGAGCAUCAUGUCACUCUGCAUUUAACCACAUUUGAAAACCCUAAAACUUGCCCAGAAAACCCUUUUGCAAAAAAUGCUUUUAUUUGAUUUUGGGCUUUGAUCUUGCUUUUGAGUAUAUGCAUUUUAACCCAUGGGGGUAUUGGUAUAAAAAGGGAUUUAAUGAAUAUAUAAAGAUAUCCCAUAAAUUGGCUUUUGAAAGUAUUUUGAAAGAUAAUUUAUUUCGAUAGCCUAAGGGCCCUAAAAUCCAUUUUAUGGGCAAAUGUACUUUUAAAUAUUUUAUUUUGAGGAAAUUCUUGUUCCAAAAGUUAGAUCAUAUGAAAAUAUGAUUUUAAUUUUUUUUUGCAUUUUAUUUGGAGUGAUUUGGAGCUUCGAAUCAAUUUUGAGGUUCAAAAACAGAAAAUAGAUAAAAAAAAAGGAAAAACCGAAGAAAACCGGUCAAACCGGACCGAACCGGAUCGGCCCCGCCCAAACCGCCCGGUCCCUCUCACUGACCGGUGGGCCCCACGUCUUCUUCAACCUCCGUCCAACUUUCCCGGCCACGCACAUUCCAAGUCCGCCCACACCUCCACUCCGAUUUCUCCGCGCACACGACUCCAAAUCCGAAACCCCGCGCGUCAUAUCGAAGCCCCCGAACUCCUCUACCACUUACCCCAAACCCCACGUUCAAUUUCGCACCUGUUUGAAAUUAAUUGCUCGCCGGAGUUCGUUGCUGCCGUUGCCGUUCUUCGCGAUUCGCUGCCGUUCCGGUGAGGUUCUCCCCACGCCGACCCUCUAAUCCUCUUCCUCUCUUCGUUGCACAUGUAGUGACGCGGACCGAUUUGUUUUAGGAGCGCCGCCCGUCUUCUUCCCCGCCUCCAGCCGCCUGCGCCGCCCUGAGCGCCCGCCGCCGCCCCACGCCUCGCGCCGCCUCCAGCCGCCCCGCGCGCCCGCGCGCCGCCGCCUCAACCCGCGCGCUGCCCGCCACCCGCGCCGUCACCCCGCGUGCCUGCGCCGCCCACCACCGCGCCACCCCGCCGCCGCCCGCCUCCUGCCCGCGCCGUCCGCGCCGCCGGCCGGAACCCUAGGUCCUGGCCUAUCGUGCGCUGCCACGUGGCAGAGUCUUUUUUUAUUUUAUUUCGGCCGAAUUAGAUAAUGCAUUUUUGCAGAAAAGCCCCUAUAACUUCAAAGCCUCAUAUCUUUCAAACCGUUUGUCCAAAAUUUACGAUCCGCACCUUUCUGGAAUCGUCACAACUUGUAGAAUAUUUUGGCACUGUCUAAUUUCAGUUUUGAACAACUUAGUCAGAAGCAAUUUACAGAUUGGUUGAAUAGGGUUUAAAUUUCAAAUGAAUUGUUUCAAAAUAGUUUUGAGCAUGUUAACCUGCUGUAAAAUUAUUUAAGCUUGUUCACUGUCCAUUAGGACCAGAAGAAAAAUUAUUUUGUGAAUAAUCAUGGCAUAGUUUAAAUAUUGCUCUAUGUUGCAAAAACCACGCAAUCUUUUAAUUUAAACCUUAUCCUUGUUUCCUGCAUAUUAAUUACCUCUUUGGUAUUGUAUAAUCUGUCCAAAUCAUUUGAAAAACUUUUCAAAACAGAAGAAAAACUUGUUACACUAAAAGUAACCAAGUGUGCAUUAACAUAGCAUAUGCAUCAUGGCAUGAUUUUUGCAUUGAAUGUUGUGUUUAUUGUGUGCAUGUUUCUUUUCUUUUAGAUUGUGUGGAGUGUUUUCCUUGUUGUUGCGAAGAGUGCGAGAGCUAUCACAACCUUGGACAAGGCAAGUUCACUUUGAUCAUAUCCCAUUAUUAUUGUUGUUUUAAAAUACUUAUGCAUUAGUGUUGUUGGUAGAGAUGCAUUGAUAGGACUAUUACUCGUACCUCUAUGCUAGUUAUAAAUCCCAGGUAGUAUAGUUUACCCUCGCCAUUACCUUGCUACCAAAUUGCCAUCGAUUGUAGUUGAAUGCUAAGCUAUGGUAGUAUCGUGGGGAAAAUAACUACAUUAUGAUAUUGUUAUGCCGUUGGCUAUAUGAAAUGUUUUUGUUAGAUGUAAGGCAAAACAACUAAUUCAAUGAACCAUCCUAGGUGGGCUGCUUUGAGGAUUAGCGGCGUCAGGUCCAUUUCUAUGGGUCCCUCUGAGUCGAGUUCCUGUGGAUUCAGGAAUGGAUCGUCCAUGGACGUCUCUCCCGUGGAUUCGGGGAGCGCCUACGUUGCAAAUGUGGAAUGCCACCUGGGGUAACCGAGACUGGACUAGUUUCCUAUUUAGAAGCUUCUAGUACAACCACAAUGCUAUAUGGGUUCUGGCGAGACAAGAGUAAGUUGUAUGAACCUAGACCCGAGGAAUUGUACUGAGGUAGAAUGUGUAGGGGGAGCGUGAUUCUCUCGUGGUUUAGGGAAUUACUUCUGAAAAUCUCGUAAUCGAUGCCGUUGCUACUCUACGCUGAGGACAGCAAGGGAUUAACACGUCGGUUUCUUGUGGGGGAUGUGUACAAACUCUCGAGAGCGUCAAAACUAAGUACUUAGCUGUGUCCCCGGCAACGGACAAUUUGAGCAACUAGAUGUGGAGCUGUAAGGAAAGUCUCACUCAUUCCAAUUUCUUAAAUAAAAUGAAUGGUUUGAACAGGGUAUGGGCACUUGAUGAAUCCACUUCAAUGUGCUCUAGGUUAAUAGGAGCAUGGGUGUGUCUACCCCGUGUCAAACAGUUAACAUUAUUAUAACAUUCCUUUGUAGUAGGGUAAUUUAUGUUCUGCUUCCACGCAAAUAGCCUUGAACCCCACUUUGCCACAUUAUGCAUAUACUUGGUAGGCUCUGAUAUAAGUCCUAAUGAAUCUUGCCAAUACAUUCAAUGUAUUGACCCUAGUGGCUGCAUCGUUUAAUGAUGCACGAAGCUCCGACGUCGAGUAAGAUGUACGUUCUGCUUGUUUGGGUUACGGGCCUACAUUCCAACACGCUCUCACCGUGGUGUUGAUGUGCCCUUGUAUCUUUCGCUUUCCGCUGCUAAACAGUUGUUUUAUUUCUAGCUAACCCGUGAGGUUAUGCGAGUUGUAAGUACCUUUUAAAUUCUGGAUGAUACGUUGUAAUAUUGAGACCUUUGUUCUAUGAUAUUACAUCUUGAAACUGUGUGUGCUAGUGAGUCGAUCCAGGGACUAGCACUAAAGCACAGAGAUCGAACCCUUGUACGGGGGCGGUCGGUACAACAAUUCCAUGACAUUGACAAGGAAACUGAGGAAGAGGCAGAAGAACAACUAGAUUAUGGUGAUGAAAAUGAUCCUGACAGCUAUGCCCGAAAACUAGGCUUCAGUACUCAGGAGAUUAGUACUUUGUAAAAAGAGUUUGAAGCUGGCCUUGAGGAAGGCAAUGAGGAGGGUGAGGUGAAUAUUACUGAUUCACAGGAAAACAAGGAGAAUCAGAGCCCUGAGGUGGUGAUCCCUACUGAUACUCCUUUUUCAGAGUUGGGCAAGUUUCAAGUCAAAACCAAUGCAACUGGAUCUGGGACUGCAUAUGCUGACAUAGUUAAGAAUGGUCAGGGGGUUGCUCCAAAAACAGGGAAAGGCAGAAACAUGUUGUUAGAGGAGGGGAAUAGAAGGAAGAGUGAGAGAAACAAGCAGGCUGAUGAUGUACCACUUCAGAACAGGGCAGAGGAGCUUCUGAAGAGAAGAAACCUGGAGAUCUCACCUGGUAAUUCUCAUGAUCCACCUCCUAAUGUUUUGUUAACUAAGUCUACUCCGGUUCAGUUUCUUAGUGUAGAUUCUAGUGUAGAUAUAGAUAAUAAUGCUGAGUUACAAGAUUUUCUAGUUGAUAAAAAAUGGUGUAGCACUUCCUUCUGUGCUCUAUACCAAAGAUGAAACUCUGGUAGACAUAGCAAAUAAAUUAGGAGUUAGUUUGGGCAGAUCUGAAAAGGAGGUUGAUAACUGUAUUAGUGUGAUUAAAAAUCUAGAAGCUGCUAGAUGUAAUAUCUUUAUGGCUAAUCAAAAAAAGUUAGACUACCAGGCUGUUAAGAAGGGAGCAAAGUUGGAUGGCUUUGAUCCUAAGGAUUUUGAGGAAUUAUUUUCUGAUGGGGAUAAGGCUGAUGAUUUAGAACCGGAUAGUAGACUAGAUGAUCUCUUAGUUUUAGGAUCUAAUCAAAAAGUUCGUAGGAAAGGUUCCCCUGGGAUUGCCAGUGUGAAACCAAAGAAAAAGGUAGUUAGGAAAAAGAAGAAAAAAUAAUUAUGAUAGGGAUGUUUUGGAAUGCUAGAGGCUUAGGUGAAAUAGAGAAGAAAGGAUACUUGAAGGGUGUCAUUUUCGAUGAAAAGUUGGAUUUUAUUUGUAUCCAAGAGACUAAAAAAAUUGUUUUUGAGGAUGUUUGGCUGAACAGUUUAACCGGUAGAAAUGUUUUUAUUUGGUACUGGGCAGCAUCCAAAGGAGCUUCUGGUGGUAUGCUUAUGGGAAUUAGGGAAGAUAAAUUCGAAGUAGGUAACUUAGAAGCUGGAGACUUUUAUACACACAUGGUUGUAUUAGACAAGGAGAUUGGAUUCAAGUGGAAUCUAGUCAAUGUUUAUGGUGCUCCACAUAGUAGGGAUAAGAAGAACUUCCUUCUGGAACUAGUACAAGUUAUCCGUAGUAAUGAUUUUUCCAAGAUUAUUGGAGGUGACUUCAAUAUUAUUAGAAGAGUUAAUGAACGUAAUAAGACUAAAAGGCUGUCAAAAUGGAUAUUCCUUUUUAAUGCAAUCAUUGAACAUUGGGGGCUGAAAGAGCUUGAAAUUGCAAGCGGGAAUUUUACUUGGUCUAACAAUCAGGUUGACCCACUUUUUCAGAAAUUAGAUAGAAUUUUGGUGAGUUUGGAUUGGGAAAGAAAGUUUCCUUUAGCUACUGUCAGGACUCUGGUAAGAGGAGUUUCUGACCAUGCCCCUAUGAUUUUAAAUACUGGGGAAAAUGUCCCUUUGCAUCAGAAAUUAUUUAGAUUUGAACUAAGCUGGUUCACUAGAGGGGAUCUGUUAGAGGUUGUAAGAAAAGUUUGGUUGGCAGGAACUAAGGGUAAAGAUAGAUUGGAUGUUUUUCAAGGGAGGCUCAGGAAUAUGAAGAGGACUUUGAAGGGAUGGAAUGUUAACUAUGAAAGUUUCUUUAGGAAAGCCAAGAAAGAAAUUGGAGAUCAGUUAGAUAUAAUAGAUAAGAAUAGUGAGAUCUGGGACUGUCAAUUGAAACAUAUAACUUGAGGAACCAGUUGCAAGCUCAGUACAACCACAUUAUUAGAGCAGAAGAUAUUAAAUGGUGUCAGAGAUCUAAAGAAAUCAAUCUUUUACAAGGUGACAGUAAUACUACUUACUUUAUGGCUAAAGCAAGUGGUAGGAAGCGUAGGAAUAAGAUUUUUCAACUUGUACAGGAGGAGGGGAAUAUCCAAGGUGAGAAGGAGAUCCUCCUCUAUGCUACAAACUUUUAUAAAGAAUUGUUUGGACCAAUAAAUGACUUACAUAUUACUCUGUCACAGCCUUUAGAUAUGAUGCUUAAUGAUGGGGAUAGGAUCAUGCUUAGUUCAGAUUUUACUUUAGCUGAAAUUAAGGAGGCUGUUUUUAAUAUGUCUCAUAAUAAGGCCUAUGGUCCUGAUGGAUUUCCAAUCGAAUUCUAUCAACGUUUUUGGCCACUUGUUUGCAAUGACUUGCUUCUGCUUUUUAAAGACUUUAGUAACGGGCUCCUGGAUAACUCUAGACUUAACUAUGUCAUUAUUACUUUGCUCCCCAAAGGACAGGGGGCAAACAAGAUUCAAAUGUAUAGACCAAUUUGCUUAUCUAAUGUCAGUUUCAAUUUUUUUACUAAAGUAGUUAAUAAUAGAGGUGCUUUAGUUGCUGAUAAAAGCAUUGCAGAUACUCAGGCUGCUUUUAUCAAGGGUCGGUACAUUUUAGACAAUGUGGUUAUGCUCGAUGAAAUUUUAGAUGAUUUACAUCACUGCAAAUAACUUAGGGUCCUAUUUAAAAUUGACUUCGAGAAAGCUUACGACAAAAUUUAUUGGACCUUUAUGUUUUCAGUUCUUAGAAUGAAGGGGUUCCCAAACAAAUUUGUGGAUUGGAUCAUGAAAUUGGUUACUGAUGGGAAGAUUGCAAUUAUGGUUAAUGAUCAGUUAGGCCCCUAUUUCAAAACUAAAAAAGGACUUCGACAGGCAGACCCCUGUCUCCUUUACUUUUUAAUCUAGCUGCUGACACAUUAAAUGUUUUAGUUCAGAGAGCAGAAGACCAAGGUUUGUUCAAAGGUUUAGCUAGUGGUUUCAUUGGGAAUGGGAUUUCAAUUCUGCAGUAUGCAGAUGAUGUGAGACCCCAAGACUGAUUUUAUGCAAUUUAGCCCCAAAUGCUAACUCACACAUAAAUCAAGUCACAGUGCCUCCCUACGAUGAACACUUCACAACAUACACGCAAUGUGUUCACCACAGGUUGGAACAAAAAUGAUAUCAUUACAUCACUUCUAAGACACGAAAUUAAGUCAAGCUCAUACAAGGAGCGAAAUACCAAGUUAUUACAACUCACGGACACAUGUCCACAAUCAUCAUUACACCAGCGGAAGCAAAUUAGGCCCCGAGUACGGACAAAUUACAAUUAUUGCCUAAGAGGCUGAAACUGAAAAGAGAGCCCGCCACAAGUUCACAGAACCCUGCCCUGGAAUCUUCUGGCUAAACGUCGAAGUUAUCGUCGUCGAACUCCACGAAGUAGCCACUCACCUGCUCCUCUGGGAACUCUGGAGAAAACAACGUUGCAAAGCAACUGAGUACAAGGUACUCGCAAGACUUACGGGAGAUCUAAACUAGAUAUGCAACAAGUCUCAAAGGAUGGAUAAUAUGGUGGGGUUAUGCAGCAGCAAUAUAUCUGGAGAAACUCACUAAUGACAACGUCUAAUGAGAGGAUGAGAAGCGUCUACCAGGUGAAAGUGAUUAACCUAUUUACUAAACACCAAACAACACAAUUCUCAUAUCACCCCUUGAACACCCUGUGAGGAACCAAUCCAAAGGAAACUCACACUAAAGUAGUUUUAAGCAUAUCCAUGAUUAAGGCUAAUUACUACUCAAAUUUAUGAGAUUAAGUUGAUUAAGAUGAUUAAGUUCUCUAUGAUCAAGUAAUGACCAACCAAGUCAUCCCUAACCCGGACACGGCUUUCAGAAAGAUUUAUCUCUGCAGGGUGUGCCAAUUUACCCGUACACGUUCGUCCAACCCUUGAUGCCACUAUAGAAUGGAACACACGCAAAAGCAUGUGCCGGCAGGAUUGGGCGACACGACGUUUCCAAGCCCCACAACUAAUCAAGGGAACCACCCAACUGAGUGUAAUCCGAAACGAGAGCCCGGCCGAAGCGUCAUAAGGACUCAAGAGUUGCGAGGACAGCUGGUAGUGGUUCAGUGUUUGCAGAAUGACCACUCCAGACUAGUGCCGCAAUCCUAUAUGUAUGCAAAGUACCAACAAAUCUCCAACACAAUACCAGUGUAUAUGCGAUAUGCCAAAUGGAACGCCCGAACUAUGUGGCCCCUGGAAGAGCUAUGAAACGAGUACUAAGCCGAGGGGGAACCCAUAUAUUCUCCCACGAGCGGUUAGCGCGAAGUUUCUUGGGUCGGCGAAAACGAGAACUCAGCCCUUAGGUAGGAGCCAAUGGAACAAAACACCAAUGCGUUAGCACGGCCUCCCAUCGUUGCCUUGUGCAGGCAAUAACAUGUCAAAGUUUAAUAAUUGCAAAUAAUUACAGAAAGUAGCAUGUGGAUGUAGCAAUUGUAUAACCCCAAGUAAGGACACUAGACUAGCAAGCUAAGCAAACUUCUAAUGACCAACUAGGGAAAUAACAAACAUGUGACAUGGUAAUAGGAUAAGGAACAAGACAACAGGCAUUUUAGUAGAGCUGACUAAAGCUAUGUAAUACUAGAGGCAUCGUGACAAGAACCGAGCGCCAGUGGAGGUAAUGCCGGGUUGGAGGGGUCGUAGGCCGGGACUCCUUGGUUUUCUGGCACGGAUCCUCCGGACGCCACAUUGUUUCCUCUUGUAGGUUCCGAGGGCAGGGUUACCACUGGUUGUAGGGAAGGUGGCGCGAAGCCCAUUGAGCGAGGCAUGCCGAGUUCCAUAUCCCCUACGGGGGCGGCAACCGUAGGCAGCUCGCCGAUCCUUGCCACUAUGUUGGUGAGUGUCGAGGGACCACCUACGACGGUUUUGAGCACCUCAGUUCCUACCGGGACGGCCGGUAGCGGAGGGGCGACCGCGACUUCUGUCGUGGCGACCAUGCUUGCGGCAGCGUCCGGAUUGGUGAUGUUUCCUUCUUCCUCGGGAGCUCCCGAGGCACUUGUUUUCUUUGUUUGCGACCGUGUAGACUUCGCAGCAAGUUGGGUACCCGAUGAAGUAGGUUUCAUCGGCGCCAUUAAAUCUUCAAUUGCGGCGAGGGUUCCCCACGAUCGGUGCCACUGUUGUUGUUCUUGACAACAAUUAGAGUAAGGGGUGCCAAUGCUCGAUCGCACAAGUACGGGAAUAAAGGUUGGGCGUGUACGCUGGCCUUAUAGCGAAGGUCGCCGUACACUUGGACAAGUUGACACGUCGAUAUUUUUUGAAUAGGUUCGGUCGACCCUGCGGGUGCGACUUAAUCCUAUGUUAGGAAAGGCUUCGAGGGGGUUGUUAGCCUAGGGCUUGGGCCGAGCGGAUCUUCCCAAGACACCUUUCGGCGAGAGGUUCGUCGGGGCCGCCUCGUACUUGGACCGAACGCGUCUUUACAAGUAUCGAGGUUAGGCUACCCUCGGAACUCUAACCCAACCCCUUCUCCUUCGAGCCUGAGCCAACCAAGGCUAGCUCGGAGCCUCGAAACUAGAGUCCCCUAGAAGGCUUCCUCGAGGCCGAUCGACUUCGAGUCGAGAGCGGCGCGCGAGAGCGAACCUUAGAGGGAGCACUCUAGCCCUCUCCCCUUGAGUUAUUCAAGUGAGAGUGAAUGAUACAUGCCCCCAUGGGGGCUAUUUAUAGCCUAGGGGUCCAUGAAAAAAGACCAUGGCUACCCUUGAGGGAGAGAGAAAAGUGGGAGCAAAAUGGUAAAAGUAGCUCGUUUGGUCCAUAGCUUUUGCGUGCACCAUGUGAGAAAACUAAGGCUUGGUUCAUGGCCCACCACGGACUAAGGGCCCCCUCCUCUCACCUUUCUUGCCCCCCACUCUAGCUCAUUUGACAUUUUGACCAUGGCUUGAGAGGGUUUGAAUUGUUGACUUGUCUUCCCUUGCCACGCAGGAUUGACCGUGCCACGUGGGCGUCUUGACUUAUGCUUGGAAAUAUUGAGUUGGUCGUCGCCAUGUAGGAUUUGCGGCCCGGCCCAUUUAAGGAUUUUAUUUUACUACAAUAGUGGCAGUCCAGUCCUAUUUUUUAGGCCUUAGACCCCUAGCUGCGGGGUUGGCGCUCAUGCAUGCAUGUCGGCGCACCGAGGAGGAGCUGUCCAAACUCAUUACUCGCCACUUUUAAACCAUGCACCGUGGCACCUGUGGUAUCCCCUUGGCUAUAAAAGGAGGACCCCCGCCAGCGAUCAAAGUGUUCCUUUUUUUGGGGGGGGAGGCACAUCCAACGAACAAGCAGUUCUACCAACUCAUAGUUCGGCACUAGCACUAGCCCAGAGUAGCAAGCAACACUUAGCCAAAAAGAGACCACUCGGGGGCUUCCCCCGGCAACCUGUAAACAGCCGAUUUCACAGUAAUACAAGCUCAGACAAGCAGGACGUUGGGUUUUACACCGCAAGGUGGCCCGAACCUGGGUAAAAAGCGUGCGCAUGUGUCUCUGAUAGUGUUCUUGAUGUGUUCUAACGCUUCGCAUUGGCCCCGCCGGCGAUCGCCGAAGCGAUCCCCGUAGCCCACUGCCGAACCUAAAAAGGGGGUGCCCGCGCAUCCCCGGUGUCGGAGCCCCGCGCGGCGACAUCUGGCGCGCCAGGUAGGGGGCGCGAGAGGAGAGCUCGCCGGUGACCACCAGUGGCGACGUCUGCACCCACAUCGGCCUCGUCUUUCUCGACGACAGAGCCAGCCACCAUGCCCCCCAAGCGUGCUGGUGACUCGAGGAUCGACCCGCGUGCGGCCCCAAAAUUUCAAAUCCUUUCAUAUGCAUUGCAUCCAUCAGCAUCAAGCCACAAUUGCAUAUUUGAAUUCAAAUUUGAAUCUCAAAAGGCUUUAAAAGACUUUGUUUCAAUUUAAACCCUAAGGUUUUACACCCAUUUGAACUUUGGAUCUUCAAACGAAUAGGGUUUAUUUAUAAAAAGGGGUUUAAUGCAUAUAUAAGCUAUCCCAUGAUUUUUGGAUAAUUAUUUGGAGUUGAAAAAGUAUUUUAUUUAAAUAGAUAUAUAGCCCUAAAGGCAUUUAUAGGGCAAAUGUAUUUUUACAUAUUUUAUUUUGAAGGGAAAUCACUCCCAAAAGUUGAAUCAUGGUAAAGCAUGAUUUUACAAAUUUUCUGGAAUUUAUUUGGACCAAUUUGGAGUUCAAAAUCAAAAGUUAUCAAAGAAAUAAGAAAAACAGAAAAAGAAAAGGCUAAAAGAGAAAAAAAGAAGAGAAAACCGGACCGGCCCGGCCAAAAUUGGCUGAACCAGCCUAGUUCCGCACACGCGAGCCGAACCGACCGGCCUGGUCCACGCGCGCGCCCGCACCGAACGGCUGACAGGCGGGGCCCGCUUGUCAGGGUCGUCUUCCUCGUUUGGAAGGCGCCCGCGAUCCCCGCGCCGCCUGCCUUCUUCGCCGCCGCGCGCCGUCUCCGCCGCAAUCUCCUCUCUCGUCCUUCUUUCGGAGCCCCGAGCGCGUCCUUUUAAACCCCGUGACCUCCUCUCUUCUUCCCCCUUGCUUCCCCAGUCAAUUACGCGCCCAUGCCGCCGCGAUUGCUCGCCGGAGAACGCCGCCGCCCGCCGCCGUCUCUCGCCCCGCGUCAUCACUUCGGUGAGCCAUCUUCGACGCCGCCGCCCUCCCUCUUCUCCUCUCCCUCUCGUGCACACCGUGACGUGCUCUUUUUGGUCAAUGGCGCACCGCAGCACCUCGCCGCCGGGAACCCGAAGCUCGCCAGAAUCCGCCACCCGCACCGCCGCCUCGUCUUCGACCUAGGCGAGGAUUCUGACCGCCCCGUGCCGCGCCGACCGCGUCCCCGCCUUCGCCUCGACGAGCCGCACGCGCCCGUGCCUUCCUUGUGCCUCCCGCGUCGCCGAAGCACCCUGCGCCGCCGCCGCCCGUGCCGCGCCGCCGCCGGAGAAGCUCGCCGGAACCCUAGGUGAGCCUAACCUCCCCUCGUCCAUCCGAUCGAGAUCAACGGUGUAGAUUAGAUCUAUUUUUAUUCACUUAACCGAACCGGUACGCACCAAUCGUAUGCUGACACGUGGCACCCAUUUUAUAAAAUGAAAAUCUAAUUUUAAUUGCACGGAAUAAUUAAAUGGCACUUUUGCAGAAAAGCCCCUGUAACUUCAAAUGGUCAUAUCUUUUAAUCUGUUUGGCCAAAUUUAAUGAUCCACACCUUUUUGGAAUCCUUAGGAAGUGUAGAAUAUUUUGGCACUGUCCAAUUUCAAAUUUGAAUAUUUGAACCACAUUCAAAUUACAGAAUAAGGUUUUACGCCUUUUAAUUCAUAACUAAUUUUUUAGAAGUCCUUUUUGAAUGAAACCAGUGCCCAAAGUUUUUUUUAAUUGUCCUCAGUCCAUUGGGAUAGAGAAAUAAACAUUUUGAAUCAAUUUGUUUGGCUGAUGCCAAUAAAACCUCAUUUUAGGGUUUAAACCCCAACCUUUGCUAAUUGUUUAAAACCCUAUGCAUGUGUUUAUAAUUACCAAUGCUUAGGACCAGUUGAUCACCCGAAUAAAAUCAACCCACUCAUGACACAUGUUUUGCAUUGCAUCAUGGCAUACUCUUUUCCAUUUGAUUGUGCUGUAUGUUUAUGUAUGUAUUGUUUGUAUUUGAUUUAGUUUUCUCGGAGAGCGAUCAGUGUGAUUGCGAAGAGUGUUUGAAUACCAACUGAUAUCAAGGCAAGUUCACUUUGAUCAUAUCCUAUUACUGUUGUUUUAAAAUACUUAUGCAUUAGAGUUCUUUGUAGAAAUGCAUUGAUAGGACUAUUACUCGUAAUUAUGCUAGCUAUGACUUGACCUAUUACUGAUAAGAUCACCUUUGCCAUUACCCUUCCACCAAUUGCCAUCGUAAGUAGUUGAUUUGCUACGCUAUGUUAGUAUACGUGGGAGGGUAUCUCUAUUACCAUGAAAGUGUCAUUAUAAAGUAUUUUGGAAACCUGGCAAAAACAACUUUAAUGAACCGUCUUGGGUGGGCUGCUUUGAGGAAGUGGAGAUGUAUGCGACGUCAGGUCCAUUUCUAUCGGUCUAUUUCUAUGAGUCGUCUCGCCAUUUCUAUGGGAGCGCCUGCGUUGCAACCGAGGAAUGCCACCCGGGGUAACCAGAGACUGGACUAGUUUCCUGUUUAGUAGCUUCCAGUACAACCACAUGGUAUUAUGGGCUCUCAAUGUCUAAGUACUCCUUACUGCUCUCUGUUGGCUGCCUACUGGAGCCAUGAUGCGUCCCUCGAGCCAGCUUUGCCCGAACCAACUAACUGCCUAACUAACCAACAGAGAACCAGAACCCCUUUGACCGUCGGCAUAGGUCCUCCUUUUAUACAUAAGGGGAUGCCACAUGUGCCACGGUGCAUGAGCUACAAGUGUCCAACGGGGAGGCAUGCAACUCCCCCCGGUGAGCUGGUGGCGUGCAUGGGUGCCACCUCCGCUGCUUGGGGCCUAAGACCCUAGGGUAGGAUUAGACAACCACUGUUCCUUGGAUCGGACGGGUAACUACCCGUCGGUCGGCUCGUUUACUGAGCCGCGCGUCUUGCUCCUUGCCUUGGUGGGACCGCGUGUCCCGCGCCCGCCAUGCGCCCGCGUGGCGCUGUCAACUGGGCCCCACGCCCGAGGCGGGGGCACGCGCCCGAGAACCCCCUGUCCCAGCAAGUCGACCCCGGGAAGCACCCGGGCCCAACGCACCCGGGAACCCCCUCCGGGGAAGCAGCUUCCCGGGAGGUGCCUAGGCGGAAAUAUUCCCCGAAGCCCCGCUAGCCCAUUUCGCGCUGGUAGCUUGCCGAGGAGCUCAUAGGCGCUCCUCGGGAUGGGACCUUCCCGGGAACCCGGGAAAGGGGCCCGCGCGUCGCGCAGCGGUGCUACCCCGGGUGCCACUGGUGCGACAGUAGCCCUCGGGCGUGGGCCGGCAUCACCUGUUCCCAGGAGGGUCUCCCCCUGGUCGGUUGCCGGGCUACGCCCUUAACCGACGCGUGGGCCCCGAUCAGUCGGGGGCCCGCAUCCCUUCGCUGCCCCGUGUACAGCGCCGUUACAAGCAGAGCAGUGGACGCGCGAUCUCCGCCCUAACUCCCCCCCUAAAUAGGGUAGUUAAGACCACUCCGCGCAUUAUUCCCAGUGAUUAGGAGUUAUCCCUGCGCACCCGUAGGGUACGGAACCGGCCGUUACCAAACGGCCGGGCGUCAUAAAGCCUCUACUGUUGCCAAAAGGGGAACAACACUUUGCCCUUUCGCCUCGAUCCACUCUCGCAUCUCAUAUCCCUGCGCUCCUGCCAGCCUCCACCCUCGCUUUCCAUGGCUCCCCCCACCACCAGGAAGAGGAAGGAGGUCCAAACCUCGAAGAAGGCCGCGACAAGAAAGACCGAGGCGGCAAUCAAAGCGGCCGCCGCCAAGGACCAGAAGCGGCGGGGGAUGCGCGCCACAGUCGCCUUCUUCCGCCCCGGCUACAACGGCGAGGCGCUGGGGAAGCUCCGGCACGCUGUCGCCUCCAACUUUAGUGAGCACGGGGAAACGCAGAUCUUCCCGGUGGGCGUCGAGCACCAGGACAACGAUUUCCGGGUGUUCGCGCGCUUCCUCCUCUGCGGCAUGGUGCCGCCCUUCUCUCUGUUCCUCCACGCACUGAUGGAGUCUUAUCAGUUGUGGGUGGCGCAGCUCCACCCCACCUCGUUGUUCCUCCUCGCCACCUUCCAGUUCCUCUGCGAGGCGUUCGUGGGGGUGAUGCCGUCGGUGGGGCUCUUCCGCCACUACUUCUACCCGCGGAUCGACAACGCGAAGGCGAUGUCGUCAGGGGUGGUCUUCCGCGCCCGCGACCAGAUGAAGUCCGAGUUCAUCAUCCGGUCGGGGAAUAAGAUUGAAAAAGAGUGGCGGGGCGACUGGUGCUGGGUCCGGGUGGAGGACCCCCAGGAGUUUCAUCCAGUCGCCGACGGAGUUGCCGGUUCCCCAGAACGGCUGGAAAGAUAGGUAUCACUGCGACGCCGAUCUCCUCCCCAUCGUGGAGAAGAUCAAGGUGCUGCGGCUAGCGGGGCUCACCGAUGUUGACGUGGCACGCACCUUCGUCCAUCGGCGCAUAGCCCCGCUGCAGCUACGUUCCCGGCCCGCGUGGAUGUACACGGGCUCCGGGGACAGGACACGCCUCCAGGCGGACGGCAUCCGGCGAGAUCUUCUAGUCGACGGAGUUCCCACCAGGGGUUUCCGCUCUCCACGCCGGCGUCAAGGCGCUCAGCGACAUCGUCGGCGCCUUCCCGCCCUGCAACGAGUGGGGGCUGAUGGACGACACCCCCACCCGGGUCCCGCACGCUCCCCCGCAAGCACCCCGUGGGAAGUAGGUGCUCGAGGAGAGCGAGGGUGGGUCCGAGCCCAGCUGGCCCUCCUUCCGGUCGCUGGAUGACGAGGCGGGCCAGGUGGCUGCGUCCCCGGAAGUCGUCGCCGUGGAGGACGACGACGAGGAGAGCAGUGACAGUGCGCCCUUGAUCGUGAGAAGAUCGAGGGCGUUCGCAGCGGCUGCAGCCGUGUCCUCAACGACGACGUCCGCCCCAGCAGCGGCCAUCGAUACCUCGACAGCAUCCGCGGCAACAGGGGCUGCGGGUGCCUCGGCAGCUGCCCCUGUCUUGGCGGCAGCCGCCAGCACCGCGGCGGGAACCGGUCCCGGGGUGCCCGCCGGUACCCGGGCAGCGCCAGCGCCUGCGGGGGUCACCGGCGCCCCGGCAACGGCCUUCGCCCCGGUAGCGGGGGCCUCCGCGAGUUUGGCUCCAGGCGCCGCGGCGGCAUCACCGUCUACACCUGGAGCUCUCCGGGUUACGACAACUCCGCGGGCGCCCACGACGCCGCCCGCUCGUGGGGUCUUCCAGGGCUUCGCGCUUCGGCGCAACCCCCCGAAGUCCUCAUCGCCGGCGGGUGCAAGCAAGAGGGCGAGGAGCGAUUCCCCGCCCGGCACACCAAGCAAUAGGACGCGCGCCGACGCUGGCGGCGCUGCCGACCCCGCUGCCGCAGGGGUCCGCCGCAGCGCGGGCGUGUCCCUUGGCGACUCAGCCCCAACGAAGACAGGGCCGGCACCGGGUAUGUCCUUGUUGAUUCUCUGCAACUGCAAUUUCUGUUAGCUAGGCUCAUGAACAUACCUUCUCUUUCUGCAGUGAGUGGCAGCUCGCCAGCGGCAAGCCUCUUGGACACUCCCGCAGGCGCAGGCGAGGUAGGGGCGGCUGCCCCGGCAAGCCCGACGGCCGCACAAGGUAACCGCCCCGGUCGCCCUUGUUCGCCUUCGAUGGCUCCAGCCAUCACCGAUCCUCAUGCUUCUCGUUGCUGCAGGCACAGGUGUGCCCCUGCCAGGAACGGGCGCACCCGUGGUUGACCCUGACUCGGUCGUCGAGGCCGCGGGGGCGGAGGUGGAGUCGGAAACGGCUCUCACGUCUGGCCCCGCUGCGACGGACACAACGGCAGCAGAGGACACCGCCGCCGCCGUGACGGCACCUGGCGACGUGCCCGAAGCCGCGGACGUGGCUGGCACGGGCUCACCUGUCGUCCAACAGGGGGCAACCCCCGCCGGGGGCAGGGAGCCUUCUCCAACCCGGGGGUCCCUGAGCGCAGGCGCGGGGGAAGUUGCCGGGGAAGGACGGCAAGACUCCCGGGAGCAAGUUGGUGACCCCGCGCCUAGCCCCACUUCGGCAGCAGGGGCUUCAUCAUCCUAGAGGGCUCUCCCCAGCACCGACCACGGCACCCUCACCGGGGUCGCUUGGAACCCCCUUACCUGGGAUCCGAGCGUCUUUGAGCGGGGGCACAGGUUCCUGGACGCCGUCCGGGACCAGCAGUUUGCCUUCGUCACCUCAUACAACGAGGUGAGGGAGCACCACACCGUCGCCAAGAAUCAACUCGGCGAGGUGCGGGAGGCCAUGGAGAGAGAGCGGUGCGAACUCUCCCGGCUGCGCGAGGAGGCGCGCCUCGCCGAAGAGGAGGCGCGGCUGGCCCGGCAAGCCUUGGAGGCCGCCCGGGAGCCGGUAGUCCCGGAGACCGAGUUCCGUCGGCAACUGGAGGCCCAGCGCGUGGAGCUUCAAGGAAGGCUCGACAUGAUGGCGGCAACCCUCAAAACGGCCCGGAAGGAGCAUGCCAAGGUGCUCGCGACGGCCCAGACGCGGCUGGACGAGAAGAGCGAGCUGAUCGCCAAUUACCGCGGGCGAAAUCCAAGGCCUCCGCGUCUUGCUGGAGGUGCAAGUCAAGGCUGCCGAGGAUGCAGCGAGAACGACGGCUCGGCACGAGGCCGAUCUCAACUCCGCCAAAGACAGAGCGGCCGGGCUUGAGGCCGAGUUGGCCGCCGUCCGGGAGGAGCUCGCCAAGGCCGGCGAGGCCAACGCGACCAAGGCCGCAGAGCUUGCGAAGCUGGAGGGCCGCGUCAGCAGGGCCAAGAUGGCCGCGCAAGAUGCCCGACUCCACCACGGCACGCUGAUCGGGCAACGGCAGCUUGAGACGGAGAAGCUGACGAAGAUCGCCCAGUCGCUGCGCGACCUACUGCCCAAGUUUGAGCUGCAGGCGGCGGAGGUGGACGGCACAGACGUCACGACGCUGAUCCCCUUCUUCUCCGACUUGGUGGGGAAGCUCGGGGCGCUCAAUGUCUGGAUCGCCAGGUAUGGCGCCAACGAAGUCGCCAACUGCGCUCAGGAGGUUGCAGGGACAAUCCUCUCGCGGAUUCACCUCCGCGACCCGGAGUUCCCCUUCGAGUCCCUGCUGGAUGCUUGGUCCGACAGCGAGGACGAGCCCACGCACACCCAAGCAGUGCGCGAGUUCGUCGACGAGGUCGUCGAGCGGAUGCAGAUGAAGCCGGAGCCUGAUCUCCCUGCCGACCCCCCGGCCGAAGACGGCGACAACUAGUUGCCGCAGCCCCCAGCCGUACUCGUUACUUCCACUGUACUUUCUUCUGUUUGCUUUCCCUGCAAGUAUGGCGCUUAGCGCCGUUUGAGCAAUAACCUUUUGAUUAGUCCAUGUAAUCAUUCGGCACUUAGUCAAUCAAGCUUGUUAAUUUGCUCAAUUUUUGUCCCUUAUUCCUGAGGCUGUCUCGCGGGGUGGUUCCCUUAGCCUUUGCGUGUUGCGCCUUGUGUUGCCGGGGACUCGCACGCCCCACCCUUGACCAGACCAGGGACCUGGGACGGACCCGUGGUGCCGACCUGGGGCCAAGCGGUAGGCGGCGAGCCACUCCACUUGCGGGGUAACUACUCCAAGCCAUGCCCUCCCGGGACGGACCCGGGAGCCACACGGGGAGCGCACUCCCCCCGCAAGCGUCCUCCUCACACCCCGGCCACGCGCAGGCUCCGAGACCACACUUGGCGAAGCAGUGUUAACUCUUAGUUGAGUAAACUUUUCGACAAGUUCGUUUGUUCCUGAUGCUGUCUAGCGAGGUGGCCCCUUUAAGCCUUUGCGUAUUUUGCCUUGUGUUGUGGGGGACUCGCGUGCGCCUCACUCUUGACCAGACCAGGGACCCGGGACGGACCCAUCCUAUUACUGUUGUUUUAAAAUACUUAUGCAUUAGAGUUGUUUGUAGAAAUGCAUUGAUAGAACUAUUACUCGUACUUAUGCUAGCUAUGACUUGACCUAUUACUGAUAGGAUCACCUUUGCCAUUACCUUUCCACCAAUUGCCAUCGUAAGUAGUUGAUUUGCUACGCUAUGUUAGUAUACAUGGGAGGGUAUCUCUAUUACCAUGAAAGUGUCAUUAUAAAGUAUUUUGGAAACCUCGCAAAAACAACUUUAAUAAACCGUCCUGGGUGGGCUGCUUUGAGGAAGUGACAGGUUUAUUGUUUUAUACCACAUAUACACCAAAUACUAUGUUUUAUGCCACAUAUGCAUGUUUAUUAUACUAUACCACAGAUGCAUAUUUGAUUUUUUUUUACACCAUACACCACUAUAAUCAUGUUGCCAUGUUGUUCACAUGUUAGUAUGCAUCCAAUUUUAUAUUUACAUUUCCACCUUUGAUAUUAAUGUUUAUCACUUGAUUCCCACUCUACCACUUUUAUUUUAUUUUUACUUACAUUCGACCAUUUGAUCAUGUCACUGGUACUCCCUUAUCUCCUUCUUUAUUUUCCUAUAGAUAGGAAGCCCAACACCGUUCGGUAAUGUACCACCGUUCACCCGCAUCUACUACCCCUCCACGGACGACGACCAGUUGUUCAGUGCCCCUUUGGCGGCACUGUGUGCUUUCCUCGACCUGCCACCACCCAGGUUCAGAGGCCGAGUCGAGACCACCGCACCCGAGGGAUGGCAGCCACGGUGGGAGAUCGAGGCGAAGAUCCGCGGGCGUGAGAUCGCGCCAGCUACGCCGGAUAUCACCUUCAUCAGCCGCUACCCCACUUUCGAGCAGGGCCUUCAGUUCGCCAUGUAGUGCGCUUUCGCACAGGUGUGCCGGGACUAUCGGCACGAGUUCCCUGAGGACUCCCACUUCCUCCUCUUUGGAAGGCGGAACCAUGCAUGCUCGGCAGUGGCUACAACCAACGACGAGGAUGCAACCCCAGUGACGACCCACUUCGAGAACAUGGAGAUAAACACCGUGGACUUGGAGUCUUGCCUCGAGCAUGAGAUGACCAGGGCCGACCUAGACGAGGAGCAGGUUGGUAAUCUGAUGGGAGAGAAGACCCAGUGGCUGGAGGACAAGGCCGUGUUGGAGAACACUGUCCUCAACAUGGGAGACGCCAUCGAGCAGCUGCAGUAUGAGAGGGACCAGGCCCGCUACUACAGCGAGUAGUUCAAGGCUUUCAUUGAAACUGCCGCCCCAGCCGCAGCCGAGACAGCACCCGCACCGGCGCCAGACCAGGCCCCACCUCCACCACAGGAUCAGGAGGUGGUACCUCAGGAGGGAGCGCUGACCGAGGAGGAGGAGCCCCAGGAGGUCCACGAAAGGGACACCCCUGCCACCAACACCCGCUCCAAGAGGAAGAGGGUGAAUGGGGCCACGACGUCAGCCACAUCUCCCUAGUCUCGAUGCCUGCCAGGUUUUAUCAGUCUUUAUCGUUAUCAGUAUUGGCGAGUUAGUCAUUGACCAUACAAUCUAUGUGUAUGGCAAUGUAGACCGUUUGCUUUUUCCGUACUCUUUUUUUUAUGGGCAGUGUCCCAUCGUGAACAAGUGUGAUUUGCUAUCUUUUCAAAACCUUUUUAUGAAUGAUUGAGUGUAUGAUUGAUAUAUGCUUGAGUUAAUAUCUUGUUCUGGGGGAUUAGUUAUCCUUAGCUCUAUUCUGUCUAUUAUUCCUCAUCUAUUCUACCUAAACAAAUGCCUCAAGACGUGCCCCCAACAACAACAGCCAUCACCACCACAUCCAUGGAGGGAAUGGCCACCAUGAGCACUAUCAUGGGAAUGGACACCGACCCCAGCACGAGGGCAUUGACCAUGGCAAAGGGAACACCAUUGGUCAGGGCAGUGGAAACAACAACGGACAGAAUUAGAAUGAAGAAUUCACCCAGUUUAACCUGAGUCAAGUGGAAUGUUUCAAGUGCCACAAGACGGGGCACUACUCGGAUGAUUGCCCGAAGAUGUUCGAAGGAUUUGGACGUCAUCCUGGGAAUGGGUUGACUGACCAAGUGCGAGGGACUCAUAGAUUGUGUCAGAAGAACCAUCACCCUCACCACCCCAGAAAAUAAGAGAAUCCGUUUCGAGUCUGCUUUUGAACUUAAGAGACCUAAGGUCAAUCAUCUUAAGGGGGUUAGCCUGGACGAGGUUCCAGUAGUGAAUGAGUAUCCGGAUGUUUUCCCGGAAGAGUUGCCAGGUAUACCACUAGACAGUGAUGUAGAGUUUCUCAUCGAAUUGAAGCCUGGAAGUGGACCCAUAGCCAAGAGACCAUAUAAGAUGGCUGUGGAUGAGUUAAAGGAGUUAAAGAAACAACUAGCUGAACAGUUAGCAAAAGGUUUCAUCCGCCCCAGUUCAUCACCAUGGGGAGCACCUAUCCUGUUUGUAGAGAAGAAGGACAAGACCCAGUGGAUGUGUAUCGAUUAUCGGUCACUAAAUGAGGUGACGAUAAAGAAUAAAUACCCCUUGCCUAUCAUCAACGAUCUUUUCGACCAGUUGAAAGGAGCCUGUGUGUUCCCAAAGAUCGAUCUGCGAUCAGGGUAUUUUCAGCUGAAGAUCCGAGAGAUGGAUAUUCCCAAAACAGCUUUCACCACUAGGUAUGGACUGUAUGAGUACACCGUGAUGCUUUUUGGUUUGACCAAUGCACCAGCAUACUUCACGAACAUGAUGAACAAGGUGUUCAGGGAAUUCUUGGACAAGUUUGUCAUGGUUUUUAUCGAUGACAUCUUGGUAUAUUCCAAGAGCAAGGAAAAGCAUGAGCAGCACCUGCACAUGAUAUUGGAGAAGCUGAGAGCGCACAAGUGGUACGCCAAGUUCAGCAAGUGCGACUUUUGGUUGUCAGAAGUCAGCUUUCUUAGACACAUAGUGUCAGGAGCCGGAGUAGCCGUUGACCCAGCUAAGGUUGCAGCAGUUACAGAAUGGGAGUCACCUAAGAGCGUUGGAGUUAUCCGCAGUUUCCUAGGACUCGCUGGAUACUAUCGGAGAUUCAGUGAGAACUUCUCCAAGAUAGCAAAACCCAUGACUGAGCUUUUAAAGAAAGAGAAGAAGUUUAUCUGGAGUGAGAACUGUGAAGAAAGAUUCCAGGAAUUGAAGAAAAGACUUGUGUCUGCGCCCAUCCUUGUGUUACCUAACCUGCAGGAGGAUUUUCAAGUUUACUGUGAUGCCUCACGUCAAGGAUUGUGAGGAGUUUUAAUGCAAGGAGGAAGAGUUGUAGCGUACGCUUCGCGGCAACUAAAGAGCCACGAAGGCAACUAUCCCACUCAUGAUUUGGAAUUAGCAUCAGUAGUGCACGCCCUGAAGACUUGGAGAUAUUACCUGAUGGGCAAACACUGUGAGUUGUUUACCGAUCACAAGAGCCUGAAGUACAUAUUCACUCAGAAGGAGUUGAACCUGAGGCAGAGAAGAUUGUUAGAACUGAUAAAUGAUUAUGACCCGAAUUUACAAUACCAUCCAAGCAAGGCUAAUGUCGUAGCCGACGCUUUGAGCCGCAAGGGCUAUAUAAAUGGACUAACAGCUGGAGAAUUACCACCAGAGUUGUGCGAACAGUUCAAAGACCUCAGACUGGAAAUAGUACCUGAAGGUUACUUAGCCGCUUUGGAAGUGCAACCCACAUUGCUAGCUAAGAUUAGUGAAGCACAAAAGGAUGACUCGGAAAUUAAGAAAAUAAAAGAAAAUAUGGUUAUUGGAAAGGCCAAAGAUUUUCGAGAAGACGACCAGGGAACUAUAUGGUUCGGAAAACGCAUUUGCGUACCGCAGGAUCCAGAACUCAGAAAGUUGAUUUUGCAAGAAGCCCAUGACUCACCUGAAGCGACCGCCCCCGUACACGGGUUCGAUCUCUGUGCUUUAGUGCUAGUCCCUAGAUCGACUCACUAGCACACACAGUUUCAAGAUGUAAUAUCAUAGAACAAAGGUCUCAAUAUUACAACGAAUCAUCCAGAAUUUAAAAGGUACUUACAACUCGCAUAACCUCACGAGUUAGCUGGAAAUAAAACAACCGUUUAGCAGCGGAAAACGAAAGAUACAAGGGCACAUCAACACCACGGUGAGAGCGUGUUGGAAUGUAGGCCCGUAACCCAAACAAGCAGAACGUACAUGAUAGGGGAAAGGUGCCCGAUCUUUCGAUGCGACGGUAGCUAUCGAUUUUUGGGUGGAUGUCGACGUUGACGAACCGGCUACAAACGUGCGAGACGUUGCACCUUAGCGAUCGCUACACCAACUUCCGAGGUUAUUGACCACGCCGGAGCUAGAUCAACCUGAUCACGAAGGAUCAAUCCCUGCAUGCAACCGAAGAACAAGCAAGAAUUAUAGAUGCAAUCAAGAUAUUGCGAAUAAAAGUGAAGCUUUAUUGAUGGGAUUCUGCAAGCGCGUAGUACAGAAGGUCGAUUUGACACUUGUGCCUAUGGCGAAGAGUAGCAAAUAGCUAAGUCUCAAACUAAACAAAAUCCGAUUCUAAACGAAGACCUAACGGGGGUAUAUAUGGAGGACUAGAGGGGUAUGCGGCCAGCCUUGGGAAAGGAGGCCGAAACCCACUCUAGGUUGGUUUCCUUCACCUAUACGGACUCCAAAAGUUUAUCCCAUGUAUGUGGACGAAAAUUACAUGGGCCUAGCCCAAACUUAAAAGGUGACGCAACACCAUAUAAUUAUGUGGACGAAAAUAUGAAGGGAAAAGCUCUAUAUUUCGCCCACGUCUUCAUCUCUCAUUAUGGUGGCUUCAACAUUCUGAAAUCUCCAGUUGCGGCGCCAUCGUCAGUCCUCACACGCUUGCUGCCUUCAUCUCCAUGCGUGAUCAUGCUCCAAUGCUUGUCCCUCUCAUCCAUGCUAGGUCCAUCAUUCCUAAGUGUGACAAACACAUCUGAUUUAGGCAGCAUCAUAUUCUCAUGUAUGUGAACAAUCGUUCCAAGAAACGAAAGUAGCUGAUAAUUAAGUUGGCGUGCGCGAGCUCUUGUGAUAGGUCCUUGUAAUGUGACUGUAGGUGCUGCGGGUGUAUCAACAUGUGGGAGGUCCUCAUCAGUACAUCUUACUCGUCGUCGGAACUUCCUGCAUCAUUAAACGAUGCAGCCACUAGGGUCAAUACAUUGAAUGUAUUGGCAAGUACACCAAAGGGUUAUAACAGACCUAACAAGUAUAUGCAGUAUUUGGCAAGAUGGAGUUCAGGCUGUUUGCGUGGAAGCAGAACAUAAAUUACCCUACUACAAAGGAAUGUUAUAAUAAUGUCAACUAUUGGACACGGGGUAGACACACCCAUGCUCCUAUUAACCUAGAGCACAUUGAAGUGGAUUCAUCAAGUGCCCCUACCCUGUUCGAACCAUUCAUUUUAUUUAAGAAAUUGGAAUGAGUGAGACUUUCCUUACAGCCCCAAUAUCUAGUUGCUCAUGAUUGUCCGUAACCGGGGAGAUGGCUAAGUACUUAGUUUGACACUCUCGAGAGGUUGUACACUUUACCCACAAGAAAUCGACGUUUUAAUCCCUUGCUGUCCUCAAGGUAGAGUAGCAACGGCAUCAAUUACAGGAAUUUUCAGACCAUAAUCAUCCAGACCACAUGAGGGACCUACGUUCCCACCUACACGGCUACAUCUGCACAAUCCCUCGGAUCCAGGAUCAUAUGUCUUACAUCCAUCCUGGCAGAGCCCAUAUUACCAUGUGGUUGUACUAGAAGCUACUAAACAGGAAACUAGUCCAGUCUCUGUUACCCCAGGUGGCAUUCCACAUUUGCAACGUAGGCGCUCCUCGAAUCCACGGGAGAGACGUCCAUGGACGAUCCAUUCCUGAAUCCACAGGAACUCGACUCAAAGGGACCCAUAGAAAUGGACCUGACGCCGCUAAUCCUCAAAAUCCUCAAAGCAGCCCACCCAGGAUGGUUCAUUGAAUUAGUUGUUUUGCCUUACAUCUAACAAAAACAUUUCAUAUAGCCAACGGCAUAACAAUAUCAUAAUGUAGUUAUUUUCCCCACGAUACUAACAUAGCUUAGCAUUCAACUACUAUCGAUGGCAAUUUGGUGGUAAGGUAAUGGCGAGGGUAAACUAUACUACCUGAGAUUUAUAACUAGCAUAGAGGUACGAGUAAUAGUCCUAUCAAUGCAUCUCUACCAACAACACUAAUGCAUAAGUAUUUUAAAACAACAAUAAUAAUGGGAUAUGAUCAAAGUGAACUUGCCUUGUCCAAGGUUGUGAUAGUUCUCGCACUCUUCGCAACAACAAGGAAUACACUCCACACAAUCUAAAAAUAAAACAAACAUGCACACAAUAAACACAACAUUCAAUGCAAAAAUCAUGCCAUGAUGCAUAUGCUAUGUUAAUGCACACUUGGUUACUUUUAAUGUAACAAGUUUUGUUUCUGUUUUGAAAAGUUUUUCAAAAGGUUUGGGCAACUUACACAUUAACAGAGAGGUAAUUAAUAUGCAGGAAACAAGGAUAGGGUUUAAAUUAAAAGAUUGUGUGGUUUUUGCAACAUAGAACAAGAUUUAAACUUGUAUGACAUUAUUAUUCACAAAAUAAUUUCUCUUCUGGUCCUAAUGGACAGAGAACAAGUUUAAAAAAAUUUACAGCAAGAUAUCAUGCUCCAAACCAUUUUGAAACAAUUCAUUUGAAAUUUAAACCAUAUUCAACCAUUCUGUAAAUUGCUUCUGACUAAAUUGUUCAAAACUGAAAUUAGACAGUGCCAAAAUAUUCUACAAGUUGUGACGAUUCCAGAAAGGUGCAGACCACAAUUUUUGGUCAAACGGUUUGAAUGAUAUGAUGCUUUGAAGUUGUAGGGGCUUUUCUGUAAAAGUGCAAUAUUAAUUCGGCCGAAAAUAAAAUAAAAUAAAAAGGCCUCGCCACGUGGCAGCAACUGAUUGGCCCAGGGCUAGGGUUUCGGCAGCGGCGGGCGGCGAGCGUGGCAGGCAGCGGGGCAGCGCGGCAGGCGGGCGGCAGCGCACGGGCGCGGGCUCGCGGGGCGCGGCCGAGCGGAACGGGCGCGGGCGGCGCGCGGGUGGGCGGAGCGCGGGCAGCGCGCGGGGGCUGGCGUUGGGGAAGACGGCGGCGCGGCGACCGGCGGCGCCCAAACACGAAGCUGAGCGCGUCACGGCAUUCGCGCUGGAGAGAGGAGGAAGGAGAUGGGGUCGGCGCUGGCAGAAGCUCACCGGAACGACGGCGAAACGCGAAGAACGGCGACGGCAACAACGAACUAUGGCGAGCAAUUACUUUCUAACCGAUGCGAAAUCAGGCGAGCGGUUUGGGGAAAGUGGAGGAGAAAAGUGAGGGCUCCGGAGUGACGCGCAGGGAUUUGGAGGAAACGGCCCGUGCGCGGAGAAAUUGGAGGGGGAGUCGUGGGCGACUCGGACUGUGCGUGGCCGGGAAAAUCGGACGGAGGUUGAAGAAGAUGUGGGGCCCACCGGUCAGUGAGAGAAGCCGGAGGGUUCGGGCUAGGCCGGUCCGGUUUGAUCUGGUUCAGCCGGUUCGGUCCGGUCUGACCGGUUUUCUUCGGUUUUUCCUUUUCUUUUAUCUAUUUUCUGUUUUUGAACCUCAAAAUUGAUUCGAAGCUCCAAAUCACUCCAAAUAAAAUGCAACAAAAUUUGUAAAAUCAUAUUUUCAUAUGAUCUAACUUUUGGAACAAGAAUUUCCUCAAAAUAAAAUAUUUAAAAAUACAUUUGCCUACAAAAUGGCUAUCAAAAUAAAUUUAUUUUUUUAAAAUAGUUUCAAAGGCCAACUUAUGGGAUACCUUUAUAUAUGCAUUAAAUCCCUUUUUAUCGCAAUACCCUCAUGGGUUAAAAUGCAAAUACUCAAGAGCAAGAUCAAAGCCCAAAAUCAAAUAAAAGCAUUUUUGCAGAAGGGUUUUCUGGGCAAAUUUUAGGGUUUUGAAAGUGUUCAAAUGCAAGGGAUCUUCAAACCAAUAGGGUUUAUUUAUAAAAAAGGGUUCAAUGCAUAUAUAACCUAUCCCAUGAUUUUUGGAUAAUUAUUUGGAAUUGAAAAAGUAUUUUAUUUAAAUAGAUUAUAUAAAACAGAAGGCUGCUACUCUACCUAGCCGCGACUGACCAGGUGGUCAGCUCGGUUCUGGUUGCCGAGAGGGAGGAAGACGUCCCGGGGACUGAGGCUGCGAGGCAGGGGGCUGAACGGCCCCCGGCAGCCACCUCGGACCCCGGGACCACCCCCGAACCGGCAGCAUCGGCACCGCGUAAGCGGCUCGUGCAGUAUCCGGUGUACUUUGUCAGCACGGUGCAACGCGACGCCCGUACGAGGUACCCACAGGUGAAGAAGCUCCUUCUGGGGAUUCUGCUCGCCUCCCGCAAGCUGCGCCACUACUUCCAGGCGAGCCCUCACCAACCGUGAAGCCACCGGGCGGGUGGCCGAAUGGAGGAUGGAGCUGUCGGAGUUCGAUCUGCACUUCACCAACUCAAAGAGCAUCAAGAGUGCGGACCUGGCGGACUUCGUCGCGGAGUGGACGUCGACGGGUGUAGAAGAGGAGGCGCCGGAGACCAGCCUGCCGGGCAAGCUGGACGAAGGCCACUGGGUCCUCUACUUUGACGGCGCGUUCAGUCUCUAGGGAGCCGGUGCCGGGGUCGUCACCGACGGGGGAUCAGUUGAGGUUCGCUGUCCAACUCAAUUUUCCGAACUCCACCAACAAUACGGCAAAGUAUGAGGGUUUAGUCGCCGGGUUGCGGGUAACAAUCGCCCUGGACAUCAAGUGCCUGGUCGUUCGCGUGGACUACCAGCUCGUGAUCAACCGGGUUAACAAGGACUACGACUGCCCGCAGAUGGCACCGUACGUGGAGGAAGUCCGCAAGCUAGAACGCAAGUUCAAGGGUUUGCGGUUCGAGCACGUCAAGCGGAAGGACAACUUCACGGCUAACGAGCUGUCCAAGAUGGCAGCAGAGCGCCGGAGGCCCCCGGCCGAGGUGUUCUGCCACAAGCAGGCGGCUCCUUCAGUCGCUCCCAAGCCGGUUGCCGAGGAAGCCCCUCCGGCAACCGAAGGAAACCCCACCAUAGCAGGGGUCCAUGCCGCUGACGUAGCGGCAUGCAUUGGCAGGGAGACCCCUCCCUGGGCGGUGGAAAUCGCCCGUUACCUGAAGGGGGAGGCUCUCCCAGAAGACGAUGUCACCGCGGAGCGAGUGGCUCGGCCAGCCAAGAUGUACGCCGUGGUGGACGGGAACCUAUACCGCAGGCGUGCAAAUGGAGUCAAGCUCCUCUACGUGCCCCAAGAUGAAGGGCGCGCACUGUUGGAGGAGAUACAUCGAGGCACAUGCUCUCAACAUGUGGCCUCCCGGGCGCUGGCCGGCAAGGCGUUUCGGCACGGUUUCUACUGGCCCACGGCCCUGGCCGACGCGGAGCAGCUGGUAAAAACAUGCGAGGCGUGCCAGUUCCACUCGAAGAAGAGCAACUAGCCGGCGCAGGCCCUGCAGGUCAUCCCGUCCUCGUGGCCAUUCGCGGUCUGGGGCUUGACAUCAUCGGCAAGCUGCCGAGAGCAGUCGGCGACUACGAGUACUUGCUCGUGCCCAUCGACAAGUUCUCCAAGUGGGUGGAAGUGGAACCGGUGUGCAAGGUGACCGCCCAGGCGGCAAUCAAGUUCUUCAAGAGCAUUGUGUGCCGGUUUGGUGUGCCUAACGGCAUCAUCACCGACAACGGCACGCAAUUCACGAGCGCGAUGUUCCAGGCCUACUGCGAGGGCAUGGGCACCAAGAUACACUUCAUGUCCGUUGCUCACCCAAGGAGUAACGGGCAGGCGGAGCGAGCCAACGCGGAAGUGUUGCGGGGGCUCAAGACGAGAACCUUUGACAAGCUCAAAGGCCACGGGAAACACUGGGUCGAAGAACUCCAGCCCGUGCUGUGGUCAAUCAGGACCACACCUAGUCGGGCAAUGGGCAUAACUCCUUUCGCCCUUGACUACGGGGCAGAAGCGGUGCUGCCCCUCGAGCUCAAGCACGGAUCUCCCCGAGUACGCGCGUACGGCAACCCCAGCCAACACGAGCAAAGGGUUGACAAUCUGAACUUCAUCGAAAAGCUUCGAUGACGGGCUACUGUGCGAGCCGUGCGCUACCAGCAGGGACUCCAUCGUUAUCACGACAGACGAGUCCGUCCCCGAGGGCUCGAGAACGGAGACCUUGUCCUGCGCCGAAUACAAGGAACGAAGGCUGGGAACAAGUUGACUCCGAAAUGGGAGGGCCCCUUCCGGGUAGUGCAGGUGACCAGGCCGGGGGUUGUCUGGCUGGAAACCGAAGAAGGCUUGCCGGUGCAAAAUAGCUGAAAUAUUGAGCACCUGCGCAAGUUCUACCCGUGAAGCAGCGGAGCCCAAUCCUGAGGUGAUGCGGCAUACCUCUCGAACUAGUGUAGCCGGACAGCCCCCGUGUGUAAACCACUAGUUACUGUGAAUAAAAAUAAGUGCCGUUUCCUGAAUUUUAAGAUUGUCUCGUUUAUUUGCGUGUUCCUUUCACUUCUGUCUCCUGCCCUAGGUGUACAGAAGUCUCUUCCCAUACUUAGUUGUGAGCAGGGGCUGCCGGAGCCUCGAAAACAUAAAACCCGUUGCCGGACCACUUUCGCACGGGACAUGCAGUUGCCGGGCUUCCCGCAACGUGCAUCGCAGGACAUGCAAUUGCCGGGCUUCUCGCAACGUGCAUCACAGGACAUGCAGUUGCCGGGCUUCCCGCAACGUGCAUCACGCAGUCGCUGCGUCUGGGAAAUAAAGUGCUCACAAUCAAGUUUGGUAUCGACCCUUCAGUGCCCGGGGGCUGGGAGGCACGAGAGUUAUCCAUACUGCUGCUUUGUGCUUUUCAUGAAUUUCAAAAAAAAAAUUGCAGCAUCUCGGGCUUGGUAAGAAUCUAAUGUGCAGGGAAGGAGGUGGGAAGGAGCCGUACCUGUUGCCGGUGCCACCUCCGUUGGGGCUGGGUCGCCGGAAGGUGCGAUGGUGGCGCCGCUGGCCCUUGUGCCGGCCGGGUCGGCAGCGCUGCCAGCGUCCGCGCGUGCCUUCUUGCUCGGCGCGGCAGGCGGUCAGUCGUCCCUCCCCCUCUUGCUGGCGCUCACCGACGAAUCGGCCUUCGGGGGGUUGCGCCGGAGCGCGAAGCCCCGGAAGACCCCCCGAGCAGGCGGGGCCGUGGGUGCCCGUGGGGUGCCGCGGCCCAGGGCACUGCGGGCGCCGACGACGAGGCCGCCGCAACGACGGGGACCGUCGCCGGUGUAGCUGCCGCCGCGACCCGACAGCUGCUGCUGAGGUAGCCGCUGGCGGUCACCGCCGGGGCUCCGGCAACCGCCACAGGUGUGGUCGCCGCCGAGGUGCCGGCGGACGCCCCCAGGGCGGCUGCCGCCACGGAGCUGGUGGUCGCCGCUGGGCAGAUGCCGUCGCAGCCACCAUGGAGGUCGCCGCGGCCGCUGCGUGCGCCCUUGAUCUUCGCACGAUCAGGGGCGCGUCGUUGCUGUCCUCCUCAUCGUCGUCCACAGGGAUGACUACCUGGGACGCGGCAGGUUGGCCCGCCACGUCGUCUGAGGACCGAAGGGAGGGCCAGCUAAUCUCCGACUCACCCCCGCGAGGUGCCGGUGGGGGAGCGCGCGGGGUCCGAGUGGGGGAGUCGUCCAUCAACCCCCACUCGUUGCAGGGCGGGAAGGAGGCGACGAUGUCGUUGAGCACCGCAACACCGGCGUGGAGGGAGAUAACCCCCGGCGGUAACCCCGUAGUGGGAAGGUCCUCGCCAGAGAUCCCCUUCAUCCACACCUGGAGGGAUUCCCGGUCCACGCCCUCGCGAUGGAAGCAUGUCCUGUCCCCGGGCCCCGUGUACAUCCAUGCGGGCCGGGAGCGCAGUUGGAGUGGCACGACGCGCCGGGUGAUGAAGGUGCGCGCCACGUCAACAUCGGUGACCCUUGCCAGCCGCAAAGCCUUGAUCUUCUCCACGAUGGGGAGGAGAUCGGCAUCGCGGUGGUACCGGUCCUGCCAGCCGCUGUGAGGUUGUGGCAGCUCGGUGGGUGAGAGGACGAACUCCUCGGGGUCUUGCACCCGGACCCAGCACCAGUCGCCCCGCCACUCCAUCUCGAUCCUCUUCUCCGACCGGACGAUGAACUCGGACUUCAUCCGGUCGCGGGCGCGGAACACCACCCCUGAUGACAUCGCAUUCGCGUUAUCGAUCUGGGGGUAGAAGUAAUGCCGGAACAGUGCCACCGACGACAUUACCCCGACGAAUGCUUCGCAGAGGAACUGGAAGGUGGCGAGGACGUAGAGAGACGUGGGGUGGAGCUGCGCCACCCGCAGCUGGUACGACUCCAUGAGCGCGUGGAGGAACAAAGAGAAGGGCGGCAUCAACCCGGUGAGGAUGAAGCGCCCGAACACCCGAAAGUCGUUUUCCUGGUGGUUGGCGCCCGUGGGGAAGAUCGGGGUGUCCCCGUGCUCGUUGAAUCCAGAGGCGACGGCGUGCCGAAUCUUGGCCAGCGCCUCACCGUUGUAGCUGGGCCGGUAGAAGGCGAGCGUGGCCCUCAUCGCCCGCUUCUUCUGGUCUUUGUCGGCGGCGGCCUUGGUGGCCGCCUCGCUCUUGCUGGCCGCCGGUUUCUUUCCCUUCCUCGUGGUGGGGGGCGCCAUGGGGAGCGAGGGCGGGGGCUAGCAGAGCUUUUGGGCGCAAGAUGCGAAGAAGAUGGAAGACGAAGCCUGGGGAGCAGAGUGUUUUCCCCUCACUACAACAAUAAAAGCUCUAUAGCACCCCCGUCGUUUGGUAAUGGCCAGUUCCGCACCCUAUGGGCGCGCUGGGAUAAUUCCUAAUCAAAAGGAUAAUGCGAAGAGUGGCCUUAACUUCCUUGUUUAAGGGGGAGGUUACAGCGGAAAUCUCGCACCCACUACUCCGUCCGUAACGGCGGGGUACGUGGGACGGCGAAGAGACGCGGGCCCGAGGCGAGUCAGGACCUACGCAUCGAUUGGGGCGUAGCCAGGCAACUGACCAGGGAAGGGUUCGCCCGGGAAUGGGUGUUGCCGGCCCACGCCCGGGGACUACUGUCACACCAGUGGCACCCGGGGUACCACCGUUGCACGACGCGUGGGUCGCACCGCUGAGUUCCCGGGAGGAUCUCACCCCGGGCGGCAACGUAUAGGCUGCCCGGCAAGCUACCAGCCCGGAAGGGCUAGCGGGGCUUCGGGGAAUAUUCCCUCCUGGGCACCUCCCGGGAAGGCACUUGCCGGGAGGAGGUGUUCCCGGGCGCAGGUUCCCGCCGUGAGGGCGGGCCGAGCGAGCAGAGCAAAGACGCCACGUGGGCGCGCGGCAGGCACCCAGUGUGCAGUUUCGCCAGGGCAAGGAGUGAAGCGCACGGCGCAUUUAAUGAGCCACCAGGAGGGGCGUUAUCCGUCUAGUCGGACGAACAGUAGCAGUCUAGUCCUAUUUUUUAGGCCUUAGACCCCUAGCUGCGGGGUUGGCACUCAUUCAUGCAUGCCAGCGCACCGAGGAGGAGCUGUCGAAGCUCCUUACUCGCCACUUGUAAACCAUGCACCGUGGCACCUGUGGUAUCCCCUUGGCUAUAAAAGGAGGACCCCCGCCAGCGGUCAAAGGGUUCCAUUUUUUGGGGGGCAGGCACAUCCAACGAACAAGCAGUUCUACCAACUCAUAGUUCGGCACUAGCACUAGCCCAGAGUAGCAAGCAACACUUAGCCAAAAAGAGACCACUCGGGGGCUUCCCCCGGCAACCUGUAAACAGCCGAUUCCACAGUAAUACAAGCUCAAACAAGCAGGACGUGGGGUUUUACACCGCAAGGUGGCCCGAACCUGCGUAAAAAGCGUGCGCAUGUGUCUCUGAUAGUGUUCUUGAUGCGUUCUUACGCUUCGCAUUGGCCCCGCCGGCGAUCGCCGGAGCGAUCCCCGUAGCCACUGCCGAACCUAAAAAGGGGGUGCCCGCGCAUCCCGGUGUCGGAGCCCCGCGCAACGACACAAGGUGUAAAACUAAUUGCACAGUUAAAUUCCUUGCAUUUUUCUGAUUCAAAAACAUAUAUGGUUUGCUCAAAUUGGAUUUAGCAUGCAAUUACUAGGAAUUAAACAAGAUAAAACAACUUCUGGAAUUUUAAAACAAAACGAAAACACACUGAGAACUAAAACUACUCGGGCGCAGCUAGCCUGUGCGGCUGACAGCGCGCCCGGGAGAGCUAACGAGGCGCGCGGGCUGCCCGCGAUCACUGACCAAUGGGUCCCACCUGUCAGGGUCGGUCAAGAGGUAAAAAGGUUGGGUUUUACCUUGCAGCCAAGGGAGAUCGAACCCGGGUCCGAUCUGACGAGAGCGAACGGACGAGCGAGGUAACCAAACGGGCUGCGGAUCGGAUCUUGCUAGAUCUAGGGCGCAAACCCUCUUAAACUAACCCAAGCUGGUUGCUUGGGGCACGCGCGGCGGCCACGGCGAGGCAUGUCGCCGGCGACCAAGCUAGCGGCGGAGGAAACUACCUAGCACGGAAAGCAGCGCGCGGAGAAGUAAAACCAGGUGGCACGAAGGCCACCACACGAACCUUAACAUGAACGUCGGCGCGGCGCGAUGAGCUAGAGAUUGCCGGCAGCAAGCCGGAGCGUGCGCGCACGGCUACGGCACUACGGUGCACCAGAGAGAGCACGGAAAGAUGCGGAAGAGAGAGGAGCUCACCCCGGUGACGUAGGCGGAAGCUUACGAGGAAGAGACGGAUGACCUCGCCGGAAUUUGGCCGGAGAAGGGAGGCGGCCGGAGAGGAAGAAGACGUCGCGGGCGUCGAUGUAGACGAUCUCGCUCUAAUUCCUUGCACACGCGCGUGGAGGAAGGCGAGGCGCAGCAGGUGACGCGGUCGGUGCGUGGUGGUUCGGCCGGAGGCGGCGGCGCGACGCAGCGACGUCCACGGCCCGGAAGAAACGGCGGCGGCGGCGCAAGAAACGGGGGAGAGGAAACCCUUCUAGGGUUUGCCUUGCGCUGGGAGGAAAAGGGGGGGCGCGGCGCAUCUUAUAAGGAGGCGCCGAAAGAGCUGUCGCCAUCGCCGACGACGUGGCGCGGGGGCUCCACCAGUCGGAAAGGAGAAAAGCAGAGGAGGAAGACGACGCUGUGAGAGGUGGCGCAUUUUGGAGAUUACGUCUUCGCGGCUGGGAGGCGCAACGCGGGCACGCGCGGGAGAAGAUGGGCCGCGGGGCGCAUUGCUGGGCUGCGCGGCGCGCGGGAGAAAGUGGGCCGAGGCGGCUGCUGGGCCGGCUCGGGCCUGAGGUAAGGUAAGUUUUCUUUUCUUUUUCCUUUUCCUUUUCUAUUUUCUCUUUUGCAAAUAGUCUUUGAUUCAAAAUUCAAAUACCAUUUUGAAUAGCCGAGAAGUAGGAGAAAUCAAAUAUGGCACUAAUAUUUGGGAGUAUUCAAAUGGGAUAAAGGUUUUAAAAACAAAUCCCAUUUGAAUAUCUUUUGUAAAAUAUAGGAAAAGGAAUUCAAACUCAAAGAAGGAUGAUUCAUAUUUGAAUCUCCUAGCAAAUUCAAACAACAAGAUUCAACCAACAAGUUGAAUUGUAAAUUUCAAAUUUAUGUGAAGCAAAGAAGAGAUGACAUGGCAUGGAUGCAAAUGUAAAAUGUUAUGCAACAAGAAUUAAAUUACAAACAGGUCCAAACAAGGGCUUAAAUGUAAAUGUUGCUCUUGGGCUGUUACAGAUGAUACCAUCUUUCUUAUGGAAGAUAAUUUUGAAUUCACUAGAAACCUAAAGUUUAUUCUCUGUAUGUUUGAACACUUGACUGGAUUGAACAUUAAUUUUCAUAAAAGUGAGGUUUAUUGUUUUGGAGAGUCUGUCCAGAGACAAGAUGAAUAUGCUAAAAUGUUCUCUUGCCAACGUGGUCAAAUACCAUUCAAAUAUUUGGGGAUUCCCAUCAAAGAUAAACAUUUGUGCAAUAGUGAUUGGAAGUAUAUUGAGGAUAGGGUAGAGAAAAAGAUGAGUGGCUGGAAAGGUAGCCUUUUAUCUAUGGGUGGUAGGCUCAUUUUAGUUGAAACUUGUCUUAGCAAUGCUCCUAGUUAUAUGAUGUCCCUACUUAGGAUCCCCAAGGGGGUUAAAAAGAAAUUAGAUUUCUUUCGUGCCAGACUUUUGUGGCAAGAAGAUAAAGGUAAAAAGAAGUACCACCUUGUGAAUUGGGAUGAGAUAUGUCAACCCAAGGAUCAAGGUGGUUUGGGUGUUACUGAUUUAGAUGUUAAAAACAUUAGUCUUCUUUGCAAGUGGCUAUGGAAACUUGAAAAUGAGGAAGGAAUUGGCAGGAGGUUAUCAGAUCAAAAUAUGUUAAAAAAGGUUUGUUAGCUGCUUGUAAGGCAGGAUGUGGGCAAUCACAUUUCUGGCAAGGUCUAAUGCAGGUUAAAAAUAUCUUUAUGAAUUGUUGUAGAAAGAUAGUGGGUAAUGGAGAACGUACCUGCUUCUGGGAAGAACAUUGGAUAGGAGAUAUGCCUCUUUGUAAAAAAUUCCCUCGACUAUACAAUUUAACCUACAGACACUUUGUGUCCAUAGCUGAAGUGGUCCAUUCAGAUUGGGGAUGCAUUCGUUUUAGGAGAGCUUUGCGAGAGGAAACUAGGAUGAUGUGGAUUGAAUUGUUACAGCUUUGUGGAGAGAUUGAAUUAAACAAUGAGCAGGAUAGAUGUGUCUGGAAGCUUACGAAAUCAGGGAUGUUUUCGGUAGAAUCGUUGUAUAAAUUUAUUAAAGAUCGACAGGUACAGGUCGCCUAUAAAGAUCUAUGGAAACUUAGGAUAUCUCUUAAAAUUAAAGUUUUUAGUUGGCUGGCUGUCAAGAACAAAAUCUUGACGAGGGAUAACUUGGCCCACAGGGGCUAGUCUGGAUCCACAGGUUGUGAAUUCUGUGGAUCGAUGGAGACCGUAGAUCACCUUUUUUUUCCAAUGUCUAGUGGCUCAUUUCUGCUGGUCUGUGGUGGGCUGUGCAUUUGGUCUUAGCAAAGUGCCACAGAACAUGUUAGAGUUAAAUGAGUUCAUCCUCGAAGGGAACAGGGGGAUGAUUAAGAGCCUUAAAGCAUGUGGUGGGGCUGCUAUGUGCUGGAGUUUGUGGAAAGCUAGGAAUGCUUCUUAUUUUGAUAAGAAACAAUUAAGCAAUCCUAUUAACGCUGUGUUUUCUGUAUGUCACUGGAUGCUGGCUUGGGCUGGGCUUCAAAAGGGAGGUGUUAAAGACAAGCUGAAGCAAAUGGCGCAUCUCCUGUCGAUGGUCGCUCAUGAGUAUACCAGGCACGAUAUGGCUGGAGACCAACUGUCAAACGUAUUGCAUCCUGAAGAAAGUGGAUGAGAUAUGAAGACCUUUUUCAAAUUUUUCUGCCUUAUGGCUGAUCCAUGUAAUAGGCCUAGCGUUUGCUUUGGCACUAUCCUGCCUUCUAUUUCCUGUUGAGACAUCUAUGUUACAAACACCUGUGGUUUCCUUAAUGAAACCGGGAGCGAGGCUCCUUUUGCUCUAAAAAAGGGCAUAACGCAGGCACUCGCGUUGACAUUGUCUGAUCUGGAAGUAAAUCCUAGACCGGCCAUAAGUUCAACCUCAACAACCAAAUGUGUUUGCAGAUAGCAACAUUUCUACCUUUUGGGGAAAGCAGUCUUAUGUGUUGUGAGCCUUCGGAGGUGCCAAGAUCGCUGUUGGGGUGUCUGGGAGAUGGUAAAUUAAUUUGUUUCAAGGAAAAUCAAUUGUUUUGGAGCUCCGUGCAUCCGUGCAAUACAGUUCUGGGAAAUUUAAAACAUUCGCAUCGAACAGAACAAAACAAUUCAUGAGAUCUAGGUUGCGCAAACUUUGAAUUUUUCUUUUCAAAGGGGCUUUAUCCCAAGAGUAAAAUACACCACUAGUCCAUUAACUCGACAAAACUGAACAUUUUAGUCCACGAACUCGGAAAACACACACUUAAACUCCUAAAUUGGGACUAUUGUAUCACUUUAGUCUAAAAACGGUCUGGCGAGGCUUAAACACGUCAUGUGGCCGCCACAUCGGCUUUGGCCAGGACCACAGGCUACUACUCGAUUUUCUCAAGAUUUUUUUUUGCAAAAUCACCAUGCCCGAUCCGUCCGCGAGGGGCAAGGCGGCUGCGCCCAGGCGGGGAUCCUGGGGCCUUAAGAACCACGUCGUUGCCGCCGCCGCCUCAGCUAAGGUUGCUAUCAAGCCCACAAUGCUCAAUUUUGACGAAAGGAAGCCGGUGAAGGGGUCGCCGAAGCCGAUGUUGCGGCAACAUGGCGUUUUAAAGCCUCGCCGAAUCGUUUUUGGACUAAAGUGACAUAGUAGUCCCGGUUUAGAGGUUUAAGUGCGCGAGGGCCACCGUUGCCACGGGUGGAUAGAUCACCAGGACGCCAUGACCGAGCCCCCUCCCACGUUCAGGCUGCGAGGCUAUACAAAAUGGGAUCUCGAUCCGCAUUUUGUGCCUCGUCUAGCAGUCAGCAGCCUACUGUCAUUGGCUAAGAUGUUAUCUACGGGACACAGCCUUAUGCUUGACAGUUCUCUGUUGACAGCAUUGGUUGACAGAUAGAGACCGGAGACACACACCUUUCACUUCCGGUGGGGGGAGAUGACCCCAACUCUGAAAGAUGUGAGCAUGAUCACCGGUUUGCCACUCGGUGGUCCGCCGGUCGUGCCACAACCAGAAAGUCUCACCUGGCGCGAGGACCUGGGACAACGGCUAGGUAUUGCACUCCCGAGAAAGGAAGGUGGUAAGGAACUCCGGGGGGUACCCAGGAGUUGGCUUAACCACUUUACAAAUGUACCUCCCGGUGCAGACGAUUACAUUAUACGUACACACCUGAUUGCAUACUUGUUGUGGUUGUUUGGUUCGGUUAUGUUCUCGUCGUCAUCUGGUGAUACAAUCCCCCCUAGUUAUAUAGGCAUUGUUGUUGAAAUAGCGGACACUGAUUUUCAUGGUAGCUUAUAGCUGGGGAUCUGCGGUGCUUUGUCACACAUACAGGGGUUUGUGUGACGGCGUUCAGAAAAAGCCAACGAGAAAAGAACCGAUACUCUCUGUGUGCUACAUACUUCUACAGUUGUGGUCGUGGGAGCAUCUCCCGACCGGACGACCGCACAUACAAAAUCCAGUCCACCCAUACGAGGUGGCUGACCCGCGGUUUGAUGUAACAUCCCAAAAUUUCAAACUUUUACAUACGCAUUGCAUCCAUGAGCAUCAUGCCACAAUUGCAUGUUUGAAUUCAAAUUUGAAUCCCAAAAGGGCUUUGGAAAGAUUUUUAUUUCAAUUUAAACCUUAGGGUUUACACCCAUUUGAGCUUUGGAUCUUCAAACCAAUAGGUUUUAUGUAUAAAAGGGGUUUAAUGCAUAUAUAAGCUAUCCCAUAAUUUUUGGAUAAUUAUUUGGAGUUGAAAACGUAUUUUAUUUAAAUAGAUAUAUAGCCCUAAAGGCAUUUAUAGGGUAAAUGUAUUUUUUUUUUGAGGGGAAACUACUCCCAAAAGUUGUAUCAUGGUAGAACAUGAUUUUACAAAUUUUCUGGAAUUUAUUUGAACCAAUUUGGAGUUCAAAAUCAAAAGAUAUCAAACAAAUAAGGAAAAGGGAAAAAGAAAAGAAAAAAAAGGGGUGAACCGGACCGGUCCGACCGCUUGGACCGAACCGGCCCAGAACCGAUCGAGCCGCCCGACCAAACGACCCCGCCGUCCACGCGCGCGCCCGCUUCCACUGACGGGUGGGGCGCACCUGUCAGGGCCUUCUUCUUCCUCGAAAGGAAACCCCCGCGCCGCGCUGUCGCCGCCGUGACUUCUGUUUCCGCCGAUUUAGGCUUUCCCGAAGCAAGCCGAGCGCGGCACCAUAAAGCCCAAGCCUCCCCGCCUCUUUCCCCUCUGCUCGCCCACGCUCGCACGCCCCCAGGCCACCGGAUUUCGCUGCCGAAGAGCUUCGCCGCCGCUACCGUUCACCGCGCCGCCCCGACCUCGCCGGUGAGCCAUUACGCCCGCAAUUUCAAAUUUCUGGAGCCCCUCGUCUGUGCGCUUCGUUUGACGCGCGCCGUUUAUUUUUUCGUGCACCGUAGCGCCGCCCCCGUCGUCGCCAAAGCUCGCCGGAGUCCGCCGCCCGCGCCGUCCUAGGCGACGCCUCCACCGUCCUCGAGCGCCGCCGACCACGUCACCGAGCUAUCCGUGCCGCACCGCUCCGUCCCCGCACCUCCCCGUCACGCCCCGUCGCCGGAACCGCCCGCCGCCGCCCGCCCGUGCCGCGCCGCCGCCGGAGAAGCCCGCCGGAAUCCUAGGUUCCCGGAGGUGAGAUCCCGACCGUCCAUCCAUCUUCAACGGCUCAGAUUAGAUCCAUUUUAAUUCACUUAAACGAACCGGUAUGCACCAACGAGAACGCGCCACGUGUCACUGCUUAAAUAAAAUAAAAAUCUAAUUUUAAUUCCCCGGAAUAAUUAACUGACACUUUUGCAGAAAAGCCCCUGUAACUUCAAAUGAUCAUAUCUUUAAAUAUGUUUGGCCAAAUUUAAUGAUCCACACCUUUUUGGAAUCCUUAGGAAAUGUAGAAUCUUUUGGCACUGUCCAAUUUCAAAUUUGAAUACUUGAAUCACAUUCAAAUUUCAGAAUAGUGUUUAAUACCAUUUAAAUCAUAACUAAUUAUUUAGAAGUCCUUUUUGAAUGAAACCAGUGCCCAAAAUUUUGUUUAAUUGUCCUCUGCCCAUUGGGACAGAGAAAUAAAUAUUUUGAAUUAUUUUGUUUGGCUGAUGGCAAUAAAACCAUAUUUUAGGGUUUAAACCCCAACCUUUACUAUUUGUUUAAAACCCUAAUUACAUGUGCUUAAUUAUCAAUGCUUUGGACCAGUAGAUCACCCGAAUAAAAUAAACCCAAUCAUGUCACAUGUUUGCAUCGCAUCAUAGCAUACACUCUUUUGUCAUGUUUGAAUUGUGUGUGUAUGUGUGUGUAUAUUGUUUGUAUUUAAAUAGUUUUCUCGGAGAGCGAACCGUGUGUUUGCGAAGAGUGCUUGAAUACCAACUACUAUCGAGGCAAGUUCACUUUGACCAUCAUCCUAUUAUUUUAUUAUGCACUAGAUUUUAUUAGAUGCAUUGAUAAGAUUAUUAUUGUAUCUAUGCUAGCUAUGAUCUGUCCUAGUAGUAUAGGAUACCUUUGCCAUGACCUCACCACCAAUUGCCAUCGUAGUAGUAAAAUGCUAUGCUAUGAUAAUACACGAGGGUGAUAUUAUUACAAUGGGAUACUAUUGAAUUACAAUAUGAUUUUCCUAGUGUAUGGCAAAACAAGUAAUUCAAUGAAUCGUCCUGGGUGGGCUGCUUUGAGUUUUCGGAUGUCGUGACGUUAGGUCCAUUUCUAUGGGGCCCGCUGAGUCGUCUCUCCGUGAGAUUCGGGAGCGUCCAUGGUCGUCUCCCCGUGAGAUUCGGGGAGCGCCUGCGUCACAAUGUGGAAUGCCACCCGGGGUAACCAGAGACUGGACUAGUUUCCUGUUUAGUAGCUUCCAGUACAACCACAUGGUACUAUGGGCUCUGCCAGGAUGGAUGUAAGAAAUAUGAACCUGGAUCCGAGGUGACAUCAGUAUGUAGCAGUGUAGGUUGGAACGCGUCCCUCAAGUGGUUUGGGGGAAUAUGUUCUGAAAAUUCCUGUAAUCGAUGCCGUUGCUACUCUACCCUGAGGACAGCAAGGGAUUAACACGUCGAUUUCUUGUGGAUAAAGUGUACCACCUCUCGAGAGUGUCAAACUAAGUACUUAGCCGUGUCCCCGGUUACGGACAAAUUUGAGCAACUAGAUAUGGGGGCUGUAAGGAAGGUCUCACUCAUUCCAAUUUCUAAUAAAAUGAAUGGUUUGAACUGGGUAGGAGCAUUGAUGUUUCUACUCAAUGUGCCUAGGUUAAUAGGAGCAUGGGUGUUUCUACCCCGUGUCCAAUAGAAUUAAAAACUACUUGAUUAAAAAUGAUAGGAUUGAACUAUGAUGCUUUUAUGCAAACAGCCAAAUUCCACCUAGUCAAAUUAUGCAUGUACUUGGUAGGUCCUUAAUUUAUAACUCUGGUGAACCUGCCAAUACAUUCAAAUGUAUUGACCACGUAGUGGCUGCAAUUAACAAUGCAGGUGGAUCUGACGAUGAGUGAGGUUCGUCGUUAUGUUGUGGGUCAUGUGCUUACAUUCCAACAUGCUCUCACCAUGGAGUAGUUGAGACCCUUUUGUUCUACCCUUUUCCGCUGCAGUUUUGAAACAUUGUUUGAUGAUGAUGAAAUAGUAUUUGUUUUAUGCUGGCCCAAGAGGUCAUGCGAGGUUGUAAGUACUAUUUAAAUUCUGGAUGAUGCGAUGUAAUAAAGUACUUGACCUUUGUUUCUGUAUAUUUCAUCAUGAAAGUGUGUGUGCUAGUGAGUCGAUCCAGGGACUAGCACAGUAAACACAGAGAUCGAACCCUAGUAAGGGGGAGGAUCGCUUCAUUUGAACCAGCAACCUUUGGAAGCCGGUGGACACAUGCAAAAUUAAGUUGGGCUAGAAAGUAUCCAGCAAAGUGUUAUCCUCUAUACCACAAUGAAUUUGAGAUGUUGCAUGACACCGAGGUGAUAUGGGACCCGUUCAGUCAGGACGACAUAGUCAAUGUAGGUGGAGAUGUCGGGUUGUCGGUGCAGUGCACAUACGACUCCGGUAUCUGGAUGACGCGUUGCAAGCUAGUCUUCGCACAUAUGGUAGAGCCAUACGAGCCUGAACGGGUCAUGCGGCAGUUUGGUCUUUUCCAGGAGGUACCGCCGCCCCCUCCUAGAGGGAUUUCACACGAUGUCCAUACGUAAGUUUGUAACUUUAAAAACAUAAUUCUAUUUUAUUUUCAUUACAUUGUACAAUUAUUAUUGCAUUUCAGGCAAACAAAUCAAGGCAAGAACCGACACAACUGGCGACUAGCAAAUCAAACUUGGAUACAGGCUUGGAGCGAUGCUUUAACCGACAUUGUCGACGAAGCUAGGUAAUCAUGUAUUGCGUUGUUUAAUUUGGAAACAUGUUCGAUGCUAACAUCAUUCUCUUAUAGAGGUUACGACCCGCGAACAUACGAAGAAUACUUGGAGUGGUACGUCCAAAGCACGCGCGUGAGGCUAACACAAGGUCCACCACAGGGGCCUACUGAGCUCACGCACCAACAGCAGCAGGAAAGCGGCAUGGAUCGUGCCAUUGCGAGUCGUCGUGAUGACACGGUACUUGUAUAUUCUUUGUAUUUCCACGUAUCUUCAAUACUACAAUCUAAUUCAACACCAUAACCACCAUUUCUUAAUUUUAGGUUGACAAGGCCAACAGUAUCAUGCUCGAUGCACAUGAUAUAAUUAAAGAGAACCCACCAAUACAUCAUCGCCUGAAGACAAAACUAAAAAAUAUUAUGGACAAUGCAAAGGACAUUGUUGCCAAUUGGAGUUGUGGCCGUGCCGAUGACGUCAACUUACGCGCAUACCACAUGCCAGAAGUCCGGUCGGCACGACCGAGUGAGGCACGCUCUUCACGGCCCAGUGAUGUGGAGGUACAUGCAAGUUUUCGACUUAUAAUCUACAUGCAAACCGCGCAUCUGUAUAUUAAGUUAUGUUUUCACAGACUGGUGGACGAGUAGACUCAACGUUGUUGCGUACGUCGUCGAGGACUCCUAUACAACGGUCUAUGUCCGGCGCUUCAAGAUUACAAAAUGUUACUCCUAUACAGCGGUCUCGGUCCGGCGCUUCACGAUUACAAAAUGUGCAGGUUCGUCUCCAUAGAUAUUGUAUUCACAUGUACACAUCACUUCAAUGGUCAUUUUGUUUACUAAUGCGCAUAUAUAUCUGUAACCGCAGUAUGGCCUACAAACGACAUGGGAAGAGAGCCCGCCACAAGGGACUACUGGAGGGACCAUGGCAGGGUCCUCGUACAAUGUAUGAUUUAUUUUUUAUCAAAAUAAAAUAUGGAUGUUGAGAAUUCAAUUUAUUAAUACAAACGAUUUUCUUUAAUAGGCCCAGUUCACUGCUGCCGGAGGGACCAUGGCAGGAUCCUCGUAUGAUCAUGGCCAUGGAUAUGAGGUACAUGUAUGAAUUAUUUUGAUCAAAGUUAAGUACAUAGGAUGACAGAAUUAAUUGAUAUGUAUGAUUUUCCUCUAAUAGGCCCAUUUCACUACUCAUGGUGAAGAAGACUGGGGUUGGCGGACGGGCGAGACUCAUAACAAGUCCAUCAGCAGAUACCGUUCGAACUAUUCCAAGGGUACUCCUAUGGCGCACAGUCAUCGCAGGCGGUUCACAUUUCUUCAUAUCCACCACCAGAAUCUACACAGCCUCAUGAUGCGGAUUUUGUCGAUUACUUUAGCGAUGACCGUGAUAUUUCUCGUAGUCUUAUUCAUGAGACGCCAACAGUACCACAAGAGACAAACACAAUCUCUGCACCAACCCACGAGCACCGUCACCACUCACUUACUCGGCCGAUCACUGCGCACGAAAAAAAACAAAAGCACGGAAAACUACAACAGGGAGAGGGAGAGGAGAAUGAUUAUGCUACUGUAUGUAAUGUAUAUCUUAUGUUGCGACUUCUUUAAAUAAUUGUCAUGGAUGUCGACCAACUCUUUAUAAAUGACUUGAUUAUUUAAUUUGCUGGAAGAUAUGAUAACUUCGAUUAAAAAACAUCAAGGGAUAUUACAACAGAGAUAGGGAUUAAAAACAAUACGGGAUAUUACAACAAAAUACCGGAAUUAAGAUACGGUGCCGAAAUUAAGAUACGCUGCCGAACUUAAGAUACAAUGCUGAAAUUAAGAUACAGUGCAACUGAAACUACGAUACAUUGUGGGAUUCUACUGAGUCCAGCGUGGCCAUUUUCCCUUUCCCUUACCAUCUGCAGCGUCUUCCUGCGCACGUCGCGCCCUCUCUCUCUUCCUCUCUCUCUCCGCCUCGCGAAGCUCCUUCUCUUCAUGUUCCUUUUCCUCUUUCUUCUGGCGUUGCUCCUCUUGCCAGCGCUUCAUCUUCUCCGCCGCCUCUUCACGACAUGUCGCAGCAUGGAAUUUUUCCCAUACUAUUUUGUGGUCGUACUCAAUGUCAUAUUUCGCACACGCUGGCUGCUCAUGAUCGAUCCACUCUUAAUACGAACAGAGGGGCGGAGGAGACUACAACACAAAAAUAUUAUGGUCAAUCAUAUGCAACAAACAACAAACUUGUCUCGUAGAUGUUGGAACGCACCGGUGGUUGCUCGUACACGUUACGUUGUGGGGCCGGAUCAUGAGCAUAAUUUGCACACAUGAAAAACCGCCGACCUUUAGUGUACGAGAAGGGAUCAUCCACGGUUUUUGCCUUGCAAAGAUCGCCGCACCAGCACCUAGGAAAUUCAACCCCUUCUUCCACCGUCGCGGGCAUCUUCUUCUUCGGCAUCGGAUCAGGAUCGGACGAAGCCAUGCCUAACUUUGAAGGAACUACACGAAUCAAACCAAUGCAACACAAAAAAUUAGAGCAACAAAAAUACUUACUAACCUCCUUUCUUCUACCAGCAGCAACACAACCAAGAAACCAAGAAGAGCUAAAGAAGAGGCUAAGAUUUGCUCGAUGAAGACCCAAGUUAGCCCGAGUGAAUCUUUUAUAGCGCUAGUGGGUGCAACGGGGGCGGGCAAAAAGCUAUUCCGCCAAUGCAAAUGGCCAAAAGGGCUUCACCUGGCAAGAUUCGAUUCUCUGCUGGUGGUGUCGCAUCGCACGGAAAGAAAAGCGUUGUGGCUGCGCAGUCUCGUCGGGAGGAAGAUGCUGACGUGGGAAUUUUGGGGGCCUUCCGCCAUGGCAUUGGAGGGAAGGACCCUGGUGUCCUUUUGGCCGACAUGCGCAGAGGACAGGGGGCCCUACUAGCUUAAAAAAGCCCAUGCAUAGGCUUUCCGUCAAUGGGAUUGGAAGAAAGGACUUUCUGCUUUUGGCAUUGUCACGAAGCUUCGGCGUCCGGCUCAGUUGGCGGAAAGCUCUGCGUGGCGCCUUUUGGGCCUUCCGGCAGGCUAUUUUUGUCAAAUCUUUUGGAAAGAGGCUAUUUUUUUCAAAAUGGUGAGCGAGGGGGCUACUGCCGCAAAAAAUUCGUUUUUGGCUGCCUGAGCCGUUCCUCAUGGGUGUUGUGGCCACGCACACGCGGCUCGAGCCGAGGCCGUCCGACGUCUUCCUUGCCAGCUUCCCCAAGUCAGGCACCACUUGGCUCAAAGCCCUUGCCUUCGCCACGCUCAAUCGAGCCAAGAACCCGCCUUGCGACCACCCGCUCCGCCACCGCAAUUCUCACGAUUGCGUCCAGUCCUUGGGGAUGGCGCCGCGGCCUCGGAGGACGGAGGUGAUGUGUUCGCGGAGCUCCUUUAUUCUCCACGCGUGUUCUCCAGCCUCUGGGGGCCGGAUCGUGUACAUAUGUCGGGACCCCAAAGACGCGCUCGUCUCCUUGUGGUUUUUCGCCAAGAAGAUGGCGACCACCGCGGCUCGAGCCAACGACAACCCACGGCCACCAACAUCAUUCACGAUCGAAGAGGCAUUAGAGCUCUUUUGCGACGGCCGGUGUGUCGCUGGCCCGCAGUGGCAGCACGUCGUCGAGUACUGGGAGGAGAGCCGGAGGAGGCCUGACAAGGUGCUCUUCCUUCGGUACGAGCCAGGAAAUGCUCAAAGACCCUAUGAGCAAACGUGAGGAAGCUGGCGCAUGUAGAGAGGGGGCUAACCUAUCGUACGCUAAAUAUUUUGCUAGAUGGUACUUCCUCUAUUUCUAAAUAGUGGUUUUAUGUAAAUUUGCACGAUAGUAAAAAUUAGGAACGGAGGGUGUAAUAAAUUGCACGAUAGUAAAAAUAGGCACGGAGGGAGUAUUAAAUUGCAGAGUAAAAUACAACAUUAGUUCAUGAACUCAGCAAAACUGAACACUUUAGUCCACGAACUCGAAAAACGCACACUUAAACUCCUAAACUGGGACUACUGUGUCACUUUAGUCCAAAACGGUUCGUCCAGGCUUCAAUAUGCCACGUGGCCACCACGUCAGUUUCGGCCACAACCGCGGGCAGCUAGUUGAUUUUCUUAGGAUUUUUUUUUUUGCAAAAUCAUCAUGCCCGAGCCGCUCGCAAGGGGCAAGGUGGCCUCGCCCAGACGGGGAUCCUGACCCCUGAGAACCACGCCGUUGCAGCCAACGCCUCGCCUAAGGUUGUUAUCAAACCCACAAUGCUUAAUUUUGACGAGAAGAUGCCGGUGAAAAGGUGAUCGAAGCCGACGUGGCGGACACGUGGUGGGAUUAAGUCUCGCCGAACCCCGUUUUUGGACUAAAGUGACACAAUAGAUUUAAGUGUGCGUUUUGUUUUUUGCCGAUUUCAUGACUAAAAUUGUCGCGGUUGCCUCCAUGCUGCACCGGCCGCCCACCGGUACCAUGAGAACGCUAAGAGGCAUGCGGCCGUCGCCGCGAGAAGGACCACGGCGGCGGCGAGCGCCUUCGUCGAUGGCGGGCAGUGGGUCCCGCUGCAAUGCCCGUGCCCCGCCUCGGAGGAGGAGCCCGGCGUGAUCUCCGGUGCGAUGCCGGCGCUGAACGGCUGGGGACUGUCGGGGUCGAUGAGGUCCGCUGGGGUGCACGGCCGGAGAUCGGGGAGACCCAUGCCGCACAAAUCGGUGUUGUUCUCGUACUGGAAUCCGCCCUCCAGCUUCAGCCAAAACGGGCUUACGAAUUUAAUUCGCCAAGAAAAAUCGAUUGAGACUAGCUCCUGCUGCUUGUGUUGUGUGGAUUACCGGCGGGCACACUGCCGGUGAGCGAGUUAUUCCUGACAUCGAGAGCGGCGAGCAGAGGCAGCCAUGGCGAAGGGAGAGAAGAGCAGAGGAGAAAAAAGAAGAACGAAAAUAUGCAGGGGCUUAAUGCAAAAAUGGGAUGCGACCUGAUAGCGGGCCCACCUAUAAGAAAACAUGUCAAACGCGUUUAAUCUUCGAUUUUAGACAAACUGAGAAGAUUAGUCUGAAAAAGUGUGGUCAAACACGUUUAAUCUUCGAUUUUAGACAAACUGAGAAGAUUAGUAUGAAGAAGUGUGGUUCUUUUUUUUUUCUGGAAAAAUAGGGCCACGCCCCUGUUCCAUUCAUCAGUGGACAAAUGAAACAUAAGUUCAGAUAUGUUAUCUGCCUCAGCAGCCAGAGCAAACUCUCAGACCUACAGGUCAAUACCAGCCCAAAAAACAAAAGCGCAUUGCGCAGAACAACUUCAUUACAGCAGAAUGACGUAAAACAGAGGAGAAAGCCGGAUAGGCGCACCACCAGGGAAACCAGAGAUCGUCGUCGGGACAGAGCAAGCGAAGGACGCCUCAUUAUAUGGGAGCAGCUUCCAGCAGGGACAGAGCCUGGAUCCCUUGACUGGCGCGCAGCGUCAAGCUUGAGAUUGCUUUCUUCUUCUUCGUCUCCAGGGCAGUCUUGGUGUCUCCAUCGCCUUGUUCUCCAGGCUUCGCAAAGUGCAUUCCCAUGUGGCCGAAUUUGCGCUUGAGCAUAACACCUUCCAUCGCCAGAGGUGUCGUAGGAGCAUAUGCCAUAGUACCCAUGCCAGACCAAGAAGUAGAUCGAAAAAACAUAUUAUUCCUGAAUUUCCAGAGAAUCCACAACAGAGCAGCAUUAAUCAUAUUAGGAAUUUCAUUAUGUUUGUUCCCCAUCCAGAGGGUUGCCACCUGUUCUAGAUUUGCCCCAAGUUGUUUACCAGUCAGUUGGGCAAUAAAGUCCCACAUGGAAGUAGCUACAAUACACUCAAAGAAUAGAUGAUUUUCAGAGCAGGUUCAUUACAGAACAAGCAAGAUAAAUCAGUGAUUGUCUGUCUCUUAACUAGAUUGUCCCUUGUUAUGGAAAACCAGCCACAGAAAAGUUCUAACUCUGGGGGAAUGUGGAGCUUCCACACUGAUUGAAUAAAAACUGGAGUAAUUCCCCUGAAGUUUAUGACAGCAUAAAGAAGCGUGGUUCUGCGAGAAAAUUAACGUAAUGUGUGGUUCCGUGAGAAAUUUGCCUCAGUUCUCUUCUUGAAAUUUACUCAAGAAACAACGUAUGCAAUGUACUGCAAAACUUAGUAACACUGUCUGUGUCCUUGCUCGUUACAGAAAUUGUUUACCCUGAUUUUAUGUGAGCUAGCAUUACGAGCCAACUUUUCCUUCCGCUAAUGCAUUCCGGUUGUAAGGAACUUCUAGUGGCUAAAUUUUAAAUUUGGUGCUUGAUAGGUUUUGGUCCCGUAGUUACUUACUGUUCUGAUUUCAAGUAAUGACAGCAGGUUUUCUAUCGGUGCGUCAAACUAGCUUCCUUCUUUCCCUUUUCCUCUGAUUCCUAAGUACUUGUAAGAACCUGGUUGAGUAAGUAAUAAUGGAAAGGGAUAGCCCGGUUUCAGAUUUCAAACAACCAUAUUUGACACCUAGCAAUGUAGUGUAUCAGCAGUUAAAAUGGUGUUAUGCAAAACAAAAUAAACAUAUUCUAGAAAGUUACAUGCAGUAAGAGCAGGCUACAAUUACAAGAUUGAACAUUACUUGGAGGAGAGACAGAGGCCGCCCGAGAGAAGUGCUUUUCAUCCGGCACGGGGAGAUGCUCUUUUGACCCAUGGGCAACGUGAUGAAGCUGCCGGAGUUCAUGGAUUCGCUUUGUCCGAGGAGACGGCGGCGGGGUGGUGCAACACAUCGUCGAGCUAUGCAGCCACGACGUCCUGAGGUCUGAGGAACAUAUAGGUGAAAAAAAGUGGUACCCAGGAGUACAUUCAGAAUAAAUCCUUCUUCAGGGGUGUGUCGCCGGGGACUGCUGCAACCACAUGACACCGGCGAUUGGCGACACGGCUGGACAAGAUUGUCGAGGAUGCCGUCGGGGCUCAUGGUGAAACCUUCGACCUCAGGCUAAACCAAGCCACGAGACAUAGCUAGCUAGGCCUGGUCAAUGGCACCGACAGCCCGGAGCUCACAAUCCGUUGUUUUCUCGCUGAUCAGAAUAGAUUACUGAAGCAGACCAGGCAAAUUCUGAGAGAAUAAAAAGUACUCCCGUCAUCUUGCUAGAGUGCAAGCGAGAACUAGCCAACUAGGUAUUAACAAGCCAUCGAUUAAUCUAACCUAAGUUAUUCCCUAUUAGCCAUCGAUUAAUCUAAUCUAAGCUAUUCCCUAUUGGGAGCGAAAGCUCGUGGAAAUAAAGCAUUCGUCAAAACUCGUAAUAAGGUGCCAAUCAGACAAUCAGUCAAUCAUACAGCUAAAAAGUACUGGAAUAUAUUGAGACCCUAAACUAUUUUUCCAAGCAUCUCGUGCACAAUUAUAGUACUCCCUCCGUCCACCAAAAGAUGUUUCAAGUUUGUCAAAAAUUGAAUGUAUCUAGAUAUGACUUAGUGUAUAUAUGCAUUCAAAUUUGAGUAAAUUUCACGAAACCACUGUUUUUGUGGUAGCCGUGUCGCUGAACCACAGCUAACGGAAAACCGUUCGCAGAACCACACAUUUUGAAUCAAAUUGUCUUAGCCAGACCGAAAGCGAGUGGUUUGACGAUUUUGCUUGUUUUCUUGCAGGUGUGCCCACCUGUUGUACGCCACGUCAGCCCCAACUCGACCUGACCCAUUAGCCCGCGAUUAAACCCCUAUCCCCCUUCUCACUCCCGCAAGUUUUCGAGGCCUACAUGGUGUCCGCCAGGUGGGCCCCACCGGUAAAAAAAUAAAGCAAAACCGCCAAACCACCCGGUUUCGGGCUGGUUGAGACAACUUGACUCAAAAUGUGUGGCUCUGCGAACGGUUUUAUGUUAACUGUGAUUCAGCGACACGACUGCCCCAAAAAACCGUGGUUUUACGAAAUUUACUCUUCAAAUUUACUCAAAGUUGAGACAUCCUUUGUUGGACGAAGAAAGCAUCACAACUCCAACCGCGCGCCAAGCAUGGCCACCUAAAAAAUGAAAGAAAUGUAACGCCGGCCCUACGUAGAAACAUAGAAACAUGGCUACCGACACGCGGUUCGAGCCGAGGUCCUCCGACAUCUUCCUCGCUAGCUUCCCCAAGCCGGCACCACCUGGCUCAAGGCCCUCGCCUUGACCACCGUCAACCGGGCUGAGCACACCCCGUGCAACCCGGACAACCCACUGAGGCACCACAACCCCCACGAUUGUGUCGAGUUCUUGGAGGUGCCCUUAGCACGCUCUGUAGAUAAAGGUGACGUGUUCAUGACCGUCCCUUCACCGUGCGUGAUCGCCACCCACAUGCCCUACUCUAUACUGCCGGGGCACAACACGGCAGAGAGCUCCGGAGGCCGGAUCGUGUACAUCCGCCGGAACCCCAAGGAUGCAUUCGUCUCCACAUGGUUGUUCGCCAAGAAGAUGGAAGCUGCCACAGCCGUCAAAAAGUCCAUGCCACCAAGACCGUACACGAGUGAAGAGGCAUUCGAACUCUUCUGGGACGGACGAUGCGCCACUGGCCCACAGUGGCACUAGGUCGUCGGCUACUGGGAGGAGAGUCAGAGGCGUCCCGAGAAAGUGUUCUUCCUCCGGUACGAGGAAAUGCUCCUGGACCCCGCGGGCAACGUGAGGAAGCUGGCAGAGUUCAUGAGGUGCGCGUUCUCUGCCGAGGAGGAAGCGGCGGGCAUGGUGCCGCACAUUGUCGAGUUGUGCAGCCUCGACGUGCUGAAGAACAUGGAGGUGAACAAGAAUGGAGCCCAGGAAUAUGUUCAGAAUGAGUCCUUCUUCCGGAAGGGUGUCGCCGGACAUUGGAGCAACCACAUGACGCCGGCGAUGGCGGCAAGGCUGGACAAGAUCGUCGAGGAUGCGUUGCAAGGGUCAGGGUUCACGUUCACUGUCGGCGAGUCUGACUCACCUGGGUGAUCCGCCGGAGCAGACAACCACUCAACGACCAGACCCACCUUCAACUUCAAGGCUUGAAGCAAGAAACAAUGUAUGCAUUGCACGUGACUUGGGAGAAAUCAAUAAAAACUCUUCCCUAUUAGGCAGCCACUCACCCCUAUUAAUUUCCCUACAUGAACAAGGGCAAAUCCAAAUUAAAGGAGAAAAAAAAUCAUACCGACGUCAUUUUAUAUUUUUUUAAGAGUGCUUUGUGUUCUAAAGACAUUAGAAAUCAAAUCGGUUUUGCUAUUUUUUUAGGCGACUAAGAAAUAGUCGAUGAUAACAAACUUUUGAUUCAAUCAUUGAGAUUCAUGUAAGAUUAAUGCAGGUCCGAUGGAUAAAAAAAAUCUUCAUUGGAUGGCUACGAUUGUCGAUUGAGAAAUAACUAUUUCUUAAGCGACUGAGGAAUAGACACUCCCGUCAUGGGUGCGUACCUUGGCUCAGUUGUAGCGCCUGCGCUGCAGUUUUUUCGAUGUCAGUCAACGUUGUAAAUCAUACACUUGACAUUAUAUUCUAGAUAAACUUUACCAAAGUUGUGGCGACCAAUUUUUCUCAGGCAUUUUCUUUUUUCUUCACUUCCCACUGUUUGGCUAACAAAAGUGUCGGCAAGCUUGUACUGAGGGUGAUGUAUAGUGCACAAACUCUACUUCAUACUGUAAUAAACUAUCAACUGCAUGCAUGCCAGACAUAAGGCAUAAGUAGGUACAGUACCAAUCAAAUUAUCAAAACAGUUCAAAAAAACAAGGGAUCAGUACCAAUCAUGCUGUUGAAAAAUGAACUAUACUCCACUACUAAGAAUAUAUUCGGAACGAAAGCUCGUGCAAAUAAACUAAGGCAUAAUCGAGCGUAGGUGCCAAUCAUACUGCUAAAACUAGUAUUGAGCCAUUGAAAACAGCUCCCCGCGGCAAGCGUGAUCAACUAAAAAAAAUGCAUGAGAUGUACUGUAAACCAGCUCCAUGCCUCCAUGUACAAAUAUAUGGCAGGAAGCAACGCCAAUGCACCUAACACCACCCAACAAUGGCUGCUCCCGACGAAGACAUGGCCGAGCUCGCGAUCCCCUCGCUGCCACUCGAGACGCGGUGCCCUCCGUCCCCGCUCAGGCAGUGCAACGGCUUCUAGAUGCCCGAGCCGUUCCUCCCGGGCAUCCUAGGUGCACACAAGCGAUUCGAGCCAAGGCCGUCCGAUGUCUUCCUCGCCAGCUUCCCCAAGUCCGGCACCACUUGGCUCAUGGCCCUCACCUUCACCACGCUCAACCGGACUAAGCACCCGCCGUGCGACCCCGACCACCCGCUCCGUCAUCGUAAUCCUCACGACUGCGUCAAGUUCUUGGAGAUGGCCUUCUCGCUCUCGGGAGACAAAGGCAAUGUUUUCGCAGAGCUCCCUUCGCGGCGGGUGAUCGCCACCCACAUGCCUUACUCCCUCCUACCGGAGUGCAUCACGGCAAAGGGCUCUGGACGCGGGAUCGUGUACAUUUGUCGAGACCCCAAGGACGCGCUUGUCUCCAUGUGGUUGUUCACCAAGAAGAAGAUGGCGGCAAUUGUAGCUGGAUCCAACGACGAGGACAAACCACCGGCGGCAACGUCGUUCACGAUUGAGGAGGCAUUCGAGCUCUUCUGCGACGGCCGGUGCAUCUGCGGCCCGCAGUGGCAUCAUGUUGUUGGCUACUGGGAGGAAAGCCGGAAAAGGCCCGAGAAGGUGCUCUUCCUCCGGUACGAGGAAAUGCUCCGUGAUCCUGUAGGCAACGUGAGGAAGCUGGCGGAGUUCAUGGGGUGCACGUUCUCCGACGAGGAGGAGGCGGCAGGGGUGGUGGAGCAAAUCGUUGAGUUGUGCAGUAUUGACGUCCUAAAGAACGUGGAAGUCAACAAGAAUGGUACUCAGGAGUUCGUCAAGAACGAGUCUUUCUUUCGGAAAGGGGUGGCUGGGGAUUGGAGUAACCACAUGACGCCGGUGAUGGCGGCACGGCUGGACAAGAUCGUCGAGGACGCGUUGCAAGGGUCUGGGUUUACGUUCCUCGCUGGGCCUGUAUGAUCUAUCGAGCAUCUGGAGGUGUAUGUGAGCUUCAUUGGACACGAGUGUUUUGUGGUGGUGGCGCGAGACUUGUUCAGCCAUCAUGGAUGUCGUUAAGCUUCCAAGUGAUGGACAAUGUGGUGUUUGUGAUAUCUUUUUUUUUUCCUCUGACUUUUUUUUGAGCGAUUUUUUUUCCUCUGACUGUGAACUAGUGGUUGUUCUGUUGGGUUCUUAACUUCUUAUUCCCGGCCGGUUAAUGGAGAAACCGAAAGAACCGAGUAGCCCCCGCGGGCCUAGCCUAUUCUCUUCUGCCUUCACAUUCAGGCCCAGCCCAUUCUCUAAGGCAUUCACGUUGCUGGCCCAGCCAAGAGAGUGUAUUUUCUCAAUGCACAAAAGCCAGCCGCCGCGCACCGUUUCUGAGCCAGACUCCUCCGUCCAUCGGUUGAUUCCAUUGCCAGUUUCCCACUAGCCCACUCGCGGCGCCUGCCUCCAGAACCGGAGAACACUCCCUGUUCGAAUCCGGGUGUGUUCUGCCCUAGCAAGCGCUAAUUCAUGUUCGUGACGGACUCCCAACACGACUGCAUCUCGAUCCUCUGUUACCGAUAUCGACAAUCCUUCCAAGGCAUGGAUUCGAUCGAUCGAUCGAAGAGAGCUAGCGAAUCAGCAAUGGCAGCGGCGCUUCAGAACGCGGCGGCGAGGCUCGGCGGCCUCCGCGCACUCCAGCGAACGCAGGCGGCGGCGAUCAUCUCAGAGGAGCGACGGCAGGUCCCGACGAGGCUCGUCCACUGCAGGGUGCGUUCCGUACUUCCGUGCAGAAUUAACAUCUCUUCAUAUCGUUUUCUCCCUCGAUAAUACUACCCCUGGAUCCAUCUACUCCCUAUGUCCGCAAAUAAAUGUACAUUUAGUUUUGUCUUAAGUCAAAGAUAUUAAACUUUGACCAAUUUGUUUGGAAAACAUUCAUGGCACUCUUUGGAUUGCAGGAUUGCAAAGUCAUAUGGAUCGAAAAAACAUAGAAUUGAAAUGCCAUGGCAUUUUGUAUACCGCAGGGAUUCAAAACAUAGGAAUUGUUAAAAAAAAGUGUUUGGAUAUUUCAUAGAAAAAACAUAGGAAUUUUGAGACUAGAUGAAGUAAGAGAGGAGAGAGAUAGAGAGAAGGUGCAUGGAAACUUUAAAAAGAAAUUUUCAAAGAGGUUAGACCUCCUGCUUGGAUUCCUCCAAGAUUUAGAGGAAAGAAUCCUAUCCUAUGAAAUUCAUUUGGUGCAAAUCCUAUGAUCCAAAUGGCAUCUAUAGGAAUUAUUCCUUGGGGUUGGAAUCUUCUAUUUUUCCUUUGAAAAUCCUAUGAUCCGUUUUGAAAUAUAGUUUCAUAAUAUACCGAUUUAAUGUCAUAUAUGUUGCUAUCUUUUUCAAUAAUGUUGGUCAAACCUAGAAAAGUUUGACUUAGGACGAAUCUAAAAAUACACUUAUUCGUGGACGGAGGGAGUACGUACCUGUAACUUGCAAAAUUGAAACGGCAAAACUGAAUAUAUUCAUCUUCCUAUAGCAUCUUCAAACCUGCUACUUCCUCCGUCCAACAAAGGAUGUCUCAGUUUUAAAUAAAAUUGAAUGCAUCUAUACACUAAAUCAUGUCUAGAUACAUCCAAAUUUUGACAAACUUGAGACAUUUUUUGUUGGACGGAGAGAGUACCUAGUUUUCAUGUUUAAUUAGUGAAGUAACUCGCAAUUCGCAAAUACAGUUAACCCAUGCACAACUUAUAAGGUUGCAUUGCAUUUGCAUCCAUGUUUGCCUCCUAUCAUUCUACUUCCUCCAUCACAAAUUAAGUGAUUCAAAUUUAUCCAAAUAUGCAUGUAUCUGUAUCUAGAAAAUGUCUAGAUACAUGUAAUAUUUCGGUAUUUAAUAUGGAACGGAGGGAGUAGUUAGCAGCCCACGAUACACUGGCCACUGGGUACAGUACAUUGCACUUGGGAUCCAUGAAUCUUUUUG
rnacentral:lncRNA from 1 species